CUAGCCCAAUUAAUUUUUAUUAUAUAUAAAUAGAAAUAAGGGAUCCCAUUUCCUAACCUAAACUCAUAGUUUCUUAAUCCCUUCACCAGCUGAAAAAUUUUGUCGUCAGCCUUCAACAUCACCUUGCUCCUUCUUAUCCUUUGGAUUAUCAACAGUGUUCCCUUCAGUGAUUCCUCAAUUUCUAUAUAAGCUUUCAAGAGUAAGUACGACUCAUCUUUUUUUCUUCGAUUUAGUAUCUUCCUAUAUUUUUGACUUUUGCUCUUCUCAGUUGUGCUCUCUAUUAGAUAGUAGUGGUAAUAGUUGUUUUUUUAAACUGAGGGUUCUUGUUUAGAGUGAUGGAUUCCAUUACUAGGAAAGCUUUUUACAUACUUGAUACCUCUCAUUUUCUCCUUGUUCUGACCAUUUUAUCUAAUUUCAUAGGUAGAUCCAUGGUGAAGUGCAUGAGAAACAUCACACUUCUGCUCAUAGCACUAGAAUUGUCACUCAGGUUAACCACUUCUGAUUCUACCCAAGCCCCUCCCAUUUUGCCAAGUCCUUUUUGAAGGUUGUAAUAGCCUAGGCUAGAUAGCAUUUCACUCUUUUUGUUUCCUUUGAUGAUCUUGUAAAUUUGUAUGUAGUGAAAAAACUUAUGCCUCAGACUUCCCAGCCCUUUCAUCCCUUAAUCGAUGAAACUCCCAAGUAUGGGCUCUGUGUAUAGCAGAAGACUGAUUUUCCUGAAUUUGUCCAAAACCUCCUUGAGAUAUAGAUCAGGACCUGUGAUAAUGGUUCUCUUUUUUGAUCUAGGUAAAACACAAUUAUUUACCAACUCAAAGAGUAGUUGGUACUCACUCAAGGCCUUUUUGGUUACAUUCUUCACAUUCAUAUCAUCCAAAUUACUACAAACCUUAAAAAAUUUAGCAAAUCCUUCUUCCUGUCUCACAGAAUUUAUCCCUUAGGUAACUUAGCCAUUUAGGGUCAAACACCCUGCCUCUCAAAACUUCCUGAGUCCUCAAAAUUUCUUUCCUUGCCUUUCUUGACAAUACUUUUCCCUUCCCAGUAGAGGAGGAGGCCUUUCCUGAGGCACUAGUACCCUUGCCAAAUAACCCAGAAGCUCCUGAGAUUUUUUCAUUCUUAGGGCUGGGACCUAGUCCCUUGUUCCCUACUGUGGUUGCCCUCUUUCUCCUCCUAGUCAUUUUUGACCUAGAACACUUUAGUUGAACUUCCUUUUAUUUUCUUAGAGAAAAUAGUAUUCUUUCCUUUUGCCAUAGCCCUAGUGGUUCUCAUACUGCUUUCCACGUCAGAAUCAACAUCACUAUUGAAGGCCCUAUCAUUAUCAUCAUCACACAAAUUUUUAAACAUUUCAUCUAGAGUAUCAUAGUCACUAUCUUUGUUGUCGUCAAUCUCAGUUUCUUAUCAGACUCAACUGCAACAACUGGCUCAAUAAUAUCAAUUCCUUUUCUUUUCUCCAUCCUAGACUUCUUGCUAUCAUUCUUAUUUUAAGCCAAAGCCUCCUUCAUUGCAUUUCUAGAACUCACCCUAGUCCCUAGUGUCCUACCUAACCCUGAGAAAGAUGACCCUUUCCUGGAUAAUUUCCAAGAUAAGGGCUGAUUAUCAUCACUAUCCAAGUCACUCUGUGCAUCCUUAUUCCCAUCGAGAUAUCACGCACUGGGGGAGUACUACAUGCUCUUCAUCAACACUUGAAGAUGAAACAUUUUCCCUACUUGUAAAAAGAGUUGCAAGAGGAGUUUCCCAUCUUGGGGGUUUUACACUCAAAGCAGUAAGACCCUACAUCUCUAUUUCCUCACUUAUAGCUUGAAUGUUGGAGGGAGGCUCUCCUGGGUAAAUCUUUAAAUAAGAUUUCAUCCAAGGAGACACUUCCUGACUUGCUAGAGGAUUCAGAUUUAUCAAGGAUGAGGGUUUGGGUUUUGGAGGAGGAGUCCAAAUCCCAACUGGAAGGAACUGGUUGAUUAGGGAUUGGUUCCUCAGAUUUGUUGAACUAUAAGGAUAAGAAAAUACCUUUGAGGAAUUCAAUCUGGGAAUCUUCCUCACUAGGAACAAGGUUUUCAAAGGAAUCAGCCUUAUCAUCUCCUUCUUUGUUUAAGGAGAGAGUGAUUUUAGAUUCAAAGUUGGCAUCAAUAAUAUUUUCCCCCUUUUAAGAGAAUCAUCAGGAGUUCCUACCUUCUUAGAAUUGAAUUCCCUAGCAAUUUUGCACAAGAACAAAUGGGAGAACUUAGUGAUAGCAAAUAUUUCUUUAGACCAAGAUGGAAUGGAAGGAGUUUUUAUUACUUUCAAGGUAGUGGGUUCAUUCUUUUGGGAGGAUGGAGAGGGAUUCAACAUUGUGGAGAUUAGAGAGAGAAUUUGACUUAUGAUUGUAAAUAAAACAAGAGGGAAUGGUUCAAAUUUUAUGAAAAGAUAUGUCUGAAGAGACAUGUCUAGUUGGAUGGGCACAUGUCUUGAAUUUAAAGGACACUGACAGUUUUUUAGAAAGAUCAGGAAAGUGAUGUGGCACAUAUCUGUUGUUUAUAUGGUCACUAUAUAAUAUAGUAAAUUAUACUGACCUAAUUUGGGACCUGGUCCCUAAGUGAUUUUAUAGUCAACAUUCUGUGAUAUCUCAUUUCCCUUUUUUAUGUUCUCCUUUUUGCCCAGGGUGGAUAUCUACAGAAGAUAUUAAGAUGAAUUAGACAUGUAAAUCACUAUCUAGCCAGGAUACCUUCUUGCCAUUUUAUAGCUAUUAAAGUAGAAUUAUGAAAGCAACCAACAUUCAUCUAGAUCUCACAGGCUGUGUCUCCUCAUGUUUCACUCAACCAAUUCCCUAUUAUCUUUCUUCAAGGAACCAUAAGUAUAUACUAAGGAGUCUUUUUCUCUUUCAAGGGCUUGACACAAGAGGUACUCUCUCAAAUCUUUAGUUAUAUGCUCUGAGCAACCAUCUUCAAUCACCCCUGCAUUGGCUGCUACCUCUUUCUUUGCCCUGCAUCACAAAUCAAUUGUUAGUCUUGGGAGCUCAUUUUAAUCUAAGUUCCUAAAAUAAAGAUAAAGGGACGAUCAACUUCUUCUUUGUCCAGCUGGGUAAUCUUCUUUUCUUUCUCCAGGGAGUGAUAAGUUUUCUCAUGUCUCUCUAAUCUAUUGUAUGGAAAGAAUUCAUUUCUCUUAUGUGACCCUUCAUGCCACACUCUGAGCAUAGAUGAUCAUUCUUAUUUUUUGCAUGUCUGACAACAUAGUUAGAAUCUUUACCUUGACAGUAAUACCUUGGGCCUCUCUUGCUAUUUGUCUCUUGAUAAGUGAGAGUAGUGAGAGCUUGUGAUGAAGUAGUACACUUGAGAUACUUUUCAAUCUCAUUUCUUACUCUAAAUAGUCCCUUUUCAAGAAUAGAGUUCCUUUCACGAGAAGCAGCUAUGUUAACUUUAACUUCAGCUACUUCUUCUUCCAACUAAAACUGUAUACUACUUCCCUCAGCUUUUCCUUUGAAAACUGUCUUGGUAAUUUCACUUAAUUAUUUACUCAGGUGAUCAUUUUCACAUGAGAGAUUCUUGCAAGUUACUUGAUGCUCCUCCACCUGCACACUUAGUUCAACCAAUUCUUCUUUACACUUACAUAGAUCAUUCUUUAGCUUUUCCUUUCACAAGUGAGUUCAGUCAUUUGAAUGCACAACUUAAUGACUUAUUCUUCACAUUUAUCAAGGGAUUUCUUUAGAUUUUCUUUGUCUUCAGCAAGCUCAUUCAAGGAUUCAAUCAAUAUAGAGGCAACAGAUCUCAGCUUGUGGAGGAGUAAUCCUUCAGAUUCUCCUUGAUAUCUAGAAGAGUCACAGGUUUAUCUUUAUUAUCAUCAGUGUCUUCCAUCAAAGAAAAGAGUGAGUCAAACAUUUGUACUUCUUCUUCCAUUACCAACAUGGAGAUGUCUUCUCCUCGCUCAGAUUCAUCUGAGUCACUUGGUGAAUCACCCCAGCAAGCUGCAAGCACUUGACUUGAAAUCUUGUCAGCUUCAGCUUUCCUGUUAUACUUCAUAUGAACAUGCUUCUUGCCUCUGUUCUUAUAAAAAAUUUGUUUGACAUAAUCCUUGUACUCAACCUUAUGCAUUGGUCAAUUCUUGAUGUAAUAACCCAGCUUACCACACUUGUGACAGGUAUCAUUGCCAUUUUUGUCAUUGAAAUGCUUGCUAGAUUCAUCUCUUCUGGAUAAGUCCCCUGAAAUUUUUAAGGCUUUGAGCACCCUUUUAGCAAUAUAAGAUAUUUCAUCUUGUUCCAUUUCAUGAGUAUUCGUUAUGGCCUUCAGGGCUAAAUUUUUUUCCUUCUUGGCUUAUUCUUUACCUUCCCAAGUUUCUUCAACGUCUCAAAGGUUUUGAGAUUGCCUAUGAGCUCAUCCAUAGGCAUCUUAUUCAGAUCAUUGACUUCAAUGAUGGCAUUAACUUUGAUUUCCCACCUCUUUUAUACAAUUUUCAAUAAUUUACUAACCUGUUUGUGAGUAGGAAUAACUUCACCAAGAUAGUACAACUCAUCAGUUCUAGCAGUGAACCUGGUGUGCAUCUCUUGAAUGGGAUCUCCUUCCUGCAUAGUGGAAGUCUUAUAUUGAUUUGUCAACAUUUCCACCCUGGACUACUUAACCUGAGUAGUUCCUUCAUGGGAUUUCUGGAGACAAUCCCAGAUCUCUUUGGCAGUUUGACAGGCAGAGAUCCUAUUGUACUCAUCAGGACUAAUGCCACAUACAAUGAUCUUCUUGACCUUGUAAUUAUUUUGUUGUUUUUUUUUAAAAAAUAUGGGGCAGCAAAAAGGGGGUUAAAAUGACUCUCUUUGAAUUGAAAUGACUUUCAAGCUUUCAAUGACUUUCCAAUAAUUUUUUGAGCAUUGAGGGGCUUUAAAUAGCCAACAUAAAACAAAAAAAUUAGCAUAAUUUAAAUUUCAAAAUAAUCUAAAAUUUCUCUAACAACUAAAUCAACCUAAUCUAAAAUUUAAAAGUUAAAUUCAUUGUAACUAUACAAUUUGUUAAACUAAAAUUACUGCAGUAACUAAAUACAAACUAACACUCCUCCUUUGCUUUAGUUACUGCAAUUUAAAAUUUUCUCCUCCUCAAUUUGUGCUCUUAGAAUUGAUCUGGAUUUUUCUUGAUCUUUUUUCUUUUUUGAAUUUGGAAUUUCUUUUUUCUUCUUUUGGUUUUGUGCUUAAAGAACAACAUCAAAAAUCUUGUCUUGUUUGAAAGAGCUUUCAUAGGCUUCAUAAAAUAUUGUAAAAUUUUUCAUCAUCACAACAUCACAUAAAGCAUAGGUUUCAAGAUAUGAUUUUUUCAUAGAACAAAUUUUAUUACUUUUGUUUGUGAAAAUUUUUGGUAGGAACAAAAGGGCCCAUCCUCAGUGACAUCCCAUAGCUCUGAAUCCACAGCCAUGCUGAAGUCAUCCAUUCUUGUUUUCCACCACCCAUAAUAUUGACCGUUGAAUCUUGGAGGUCUGAUGGUUGACUUGCUUUCUUCUAGGUUUGGAGGAUCAGCAAUGUUUCAAGAUCCUUUCAAGGUGUUAGCCUUUUUAUGGAAGACCUGCUAUGAUACCAAAUGAAGAGUUGCAGCGGGUUGCUCUUUAACUUAGGGACCUGUACACAGAUGAACUCAAACAACAGAACUAAUGAAAGAAUAAAUAAUAAAGUGCAUGGUCCUCAUCCAACCCAACUUGAUCCCUGAUCCAAGACCCUGAUUCUAAAUUGACAUGAGACACAAAUUUGUACCACGAUCCGUGAGUUGACUUCCAACCAACUCUAGAAACCCUGAAACCCAACUCCUUUUUAAAUUUAAAUAACUGAUAGUUCAGGUGUGUUUCGCUAAAUAUUUUGUGAUACUUCAGAUAGAAAACUUAAAUACUUGAUAAUUCAGGUAUGAAACUAAGGAAAAGAGGAUACUUUAGAUAUGUUUUUCACCCUUAACUCAUUUUCAAUGAUAACUGAUGUUGCUUUAUCUUUUAACUUCAUUGGCGAGCUGCAGAUCUCUGAUAGAAUCGUACAGUUCACCUUCCUAAUCAUCUUACUGAUAGAGUUUUAACUUUUUUGCCACUUAAAGAUGUUGUUUCUUCUUCUAUUGUAGCUAAACCUUUUUAAAAUUCUUGGUUAUAUGCAAGAACACUUUGUUUUGAUAGAAUUUUUAAGAUCAAUAAUUGGGAUCUCUGCUCUACCUAUCCAGGAACAAUUCAUCUUAAAAAUUCUAUCAAAACAGUGUUCUUGCAUAUAACCAAGAAUUUUAAAAAGGUUUAGCCACAACAGACGAAGAAACAACAUCUUUAAGAUGCAAAAAAGUAAAAAUUCUAUCAGUAAGAUGAUUAGGAAGGUGAACAGUAGGAUUCUAUCAGAGAUCUGCAUUUCGCCAAUGAAGAAAAGAUACUUAGAUGCGGAGAUGAUAAGUUAUUAUUGAACAAAUCCAGAUAUUCUAGCUGUUUCGAAUCCCCUAGUGAGUUAGGAAUCUGGCCAGUGAAUCUAUUUUUGCCAAGAUAUAAUCCCUUUAGAUUUGAAGAAUUGGAGAUUGAGCUUGGUAUAACUCCACCAAUGUUGUUUGCAGCAAGAUUCAGAAGUUGUAGUUUUGUAGGACAGUAGCUUGAGGCAGAUGGAAGACUACCCGAAAGGUUAUUGAAGAGAACUGACACCCCUCUUAGCGUAGAGCUGUUGAAGAGCCCUUCCGGUAUGGAACCACUUAACUUAUUAAAUUGCAAAUAAAAUCUCUCCAAUUUGUGAAGAUUCCCAAUCUCUCGGGGUAUAACACCUGCCACAUGAAAGAGUAUAUCUAAAUUAAGUUUAUUUGAUUGCUCCAGUUUACAUCAAUAUAUAGAGUUCAUAAAUCAACAAUUAAUUCCAUGGAUAGUACUAGUCUAGAUAACCAAACAAGACCACAUUGCUUGAAAAUUACCUGAUAAAUUGAUGGCGUUCAAAUUAAGCAACCAUAGUGAUGAUACGUUGGAUAUGGUGAGCGCUAUUGAACCUACUAUGUGAUUGUUCUCCAGUUGUAGUUGCUGCAACUUUCGUAAAUUACCAAUCUUUGCUGGAAUUGUGCCUGCAAAUUAUUUUAACAAACAGCUACCAAACUUGAAAACUUUUAUGCUAUACCAAAGUGCUAUUUAAAUCUUGCGGGCUUACAGUGUGAAAAAUAUCUAAAGUGAAUUUUUUUGGUAGAAUGAAUAUCAUAAUUUUUAGUUAAAUUUCUAGAAUAGUCUAGUGAAUAAUAUCAUAGUUUUCUAGUAAAGCCUCUAGAAUACUCUACCUUAGUAUUUAGGAUAAUUAUCUUAGAAAAUAUCUAGAUUAUUCUUAGAUAGCUAGAUGAUAAAAGUUGUCUAAAUUGUUCUUGUAGAAGUAUCUAAAAUAGUAUCUAGAACCAUCCAUGGAUAAGUAUAAAUAGAGAUAGCCUUUGUACAUUUGUAAAUGUAGACACCUAAAAUUUAUUAGAUCACAUUCAUAUAAAAUUUGGAUUUGACCCAUAUUUUAUUGGGUCUAAAAUCAUUUUGGGCUAUAAAAAUUGUUAGAGUUAUGACCUGAAUUUUGAUUGAUGGACCUUUAUGUUUUUGGGCCUAGGACCUAGUUGUACACGUAAUAUAUAAGUGCGAUUUAGUGGGUUAUUUUAUUAUCAGAUAAUUUAGCCUUCUCCAUAUUGUACUCUCUUUCCAUUAUAGUGAAACCUUCUCUGCCUCUGCCUAUGGUUUUUUCCCGCAAGAGUUUUCACGUAAAUAUGAGUGUUGUUCUUAUUUUUUUUACUUUUGGUUUGCUUAUUCUAUCCGAAUCCUAACAAACUGGUAGCAAAGCUUGUUCGAUUGUUUUCUCAGGGAUGGCAACCAUGAAGUAUGAUAUUCUGUUGUUAGAUCGCAACACCAGAUUUUCGUUAUGGUAGGUUAAGAUGCGGGCUGUUCUCACGCAGAUAGAUUUAGACGAUGCUCUAUUAGAGUUUGAUAAGAUUCCCUCAUCGUGGACGGACGAGGACAAAUGGCAUAAGGAUCGAAAGGCUCUAUCUCAGAUCCACCUUCAUUUAUCCAAUCAGAUUCUACAGGAUGUUUUAAAGGAGACCACUUUCGCUGCGCUGUGGUUGAAAUUGGAAUCGUUGUGUAUGACGAAGAGCCAAACAAGUAAGUUACAUAUCGAACAAUGACUUUAUUCCCAUCGCAUGUCUGAGGGUGCAUCCUUGGAGGAUCACCUAUCUAUAUUUAAAUAAAUCAUCUCUGGUUUAGAGACUCUGGAGGUUAAGUACGAUGAGGAAGAUUUAGGGUUGAUUCUAUUAUGUUCGUUGCCUGUAUCAUACAUGACAUUUAUGGAAACAAUUUUAUAUAGUCGUGAUACCCUGGCGAUUGAUGAAGUCUUUGAUGCGUUGUUCUCUAAGGAGAAGAUAAAACAUCUUGUGGAUAGGUCAGAUACUCAAAAAGAUGAUCUCAUUGUUCGAGGAGGAAGGACUCGUGAGAGGAAUUAUGGGGGUGAUGACAGGAAUAGGUUGAGAUCAAGAAACAAAAACAAAAUCUGUAAUUACUGCAAGAAGAAGGGCCAUAUCAAAUCCGAGUGUUGGAAGCUAUAGAAUAGAGAGAAAAGAAAAGCUCCAAAACCGAAGGAAAACCAUCCAGAGAAGUUCGGUGAAGCUAGUGUUUUGGAAGAUGGUGGUAGUGAUGGAGAACUCUUAGUAGUUUCUGAUAGUAACUCCAAACCAUGUGAGGAUUGGAUUCUUGAUUCAGCUUGCACGUUUCAUAUGUGUCAUAAUCAGGAUUGGUUUACAAUAUAUAAAACAGUCUUUAAAGGUGCUGUAUUGAUGGGAAAUAACACACUUUGUAAAAUAACUGGUAUUGGAACAAUCAGGAUCAAGAUGUUUGAUAGGGUUGUGAGGAUACUUGGUGAUGUGCAGUAUGUCCCAGACCUGAAGAGAUCUUAUUUCCUUGAGUACCCUUGAUUCGAACAGUUAUAGGUACACUGGUGAAGGUGGAGUCCUAAAGGUUACUAAAGGUGCUCUUGUUGUGAUGAAGGGAUAGAGAAAGUCUGCAAAUUUGUAUGUCCUGCAAGGCUCUACUGUUACAGGUGAUGCAGCUAUUUCUACCUCUUUUCUAUCAGAAAGUGAUGUUCUAAACUUUGGCAUAUGCUCGAGGGGCAUAUGAGUAAAAAUGGGAUAGCUGACUAAGCAGGAGAGGACUUUUUGAUGGGAAGAGUAUUACCAAAUUGGAGUUCUAUGAGCACUGCAUUUUCAGGAAGCAGAAGAGAUUUAGAUUCACUAAAGGCAUCCACUCAACUAAGGGCACACUUGAUUACAUUCUUUCUGAUCUAGUGAGUCCUGCUAGAGUACCUUCUAGAGGAGGCUUUAAUUACUUAUUGAAUAUUAUUAAUGACUAUUCUAUAAAAGUUUAGGUGUUCUUUCUGAAGCAAAAGAAUGAUUUGUUGCCUACUUUCUAGGAGUGGAAGACUAUGAUUGAAAAUCAAAUAGGGAAACAGGUAAAACACCUUCAGACUGGUAAUGGUUUAGAGUUCUGUUCUAAUGAAUUUAAUGCUCUGUGCAAGUUAGAAGGAAUUGUGUGGCACUUGACAGUUUGUCAUACUCUGCAGCAGAAUGGUGUGGCUGAAUAAAUAAAUAGGACCAUAAUGGAGAAGGUACGUUGUAUGCUCUCUAAUGCUGGUUUACCCAAGUCUUUUUGGGACGAAGCUGCUUCCAUAUCUUGUUUUCUACUUAACCGCUCUCCCUCAGUUGCGAUUGAUAAAAAGACUUCACAAGAGGUAUGGUAUGGUGCUCCAGCUAGUUAUUCUGAUUUGAGGAUAUUUGGAUAUCCUAUGUAUGCUCAUAUUGAUAAUGGAAAGUUGGAACCUAGAUCUGUCAAAUAUUUAUUUAUGGGUUAUAAGCCUGGUGUUAAAGGUUAUAAGCUUUGGUGUCUAGAAAGUAGAAAGGUUAUAAUUAGCAAGGAUAUUAUGUUUGAUGAAACUGCCAUGCUUCAAGCUUCCUCCGAAUCUAGUGCUUCGCCCCCAGAUAAGCUUAGUGACAUGGAUCAGCAAAAGUCAAGCACCCAUGCUUAAUUGUAGAUUGGAGCAGAGUUUACACCAGUGCCUACCUCUCAGUCUAGCCUAGAGAUACAGAGUGAUACUAUUUUUUCUUCACCACCAGUGACUCUACAAUAUUCUAUUGCUAAAGAUAGGGCUAGAAGAGAUAUUAGACCUCCUCAGAAGUAUGCUGAAGCUGAUUUGGUUGCUUAUGCAUUGAGUGUAGUAGAAGGUAUUAAUUUCGGUGAAGAUUUUUCUUCUUACUCAGAGGCAGUUAGUUGUGAUAAUUUUGGCCGAUGGAUGAUUGCUAUACAGAAGGAGAUGAAAUCACUUCAUAAGAAUGGAACAUAGGAUUUGGUGAGAUUGCCUAAAGAUAAGAAAGUUGUUCGUGCAAGUGGGUAUUCAAAAAUAAAGAAGGAACAUUAGGAGUUAAAGAUGCUAGGUACAAAGUAAGACUAGUUGCUAAAGGUUACAGUCAGGUUUCAGGUAUUGACUUCAUAGAUGUGUUUUCUCCAGUUGUAAAGCAUAGUUUGAUUCGAGCAUUUGUUGGUAUUAUGGCCAUACACAAUCUUGAGCUUGAGCAGUUGGAUGUCAAAACUGUAUUCUUACAUGAAGAACUUGAGGAGGACAUCUAUAUGCAGCAACCAAAGGGUUUUGUAGUCUUAGGAAAUGAGGACUAUGUAUGUGAUAUGAGUACGACCACGAGGAUGGACGAGAACGAGUGCAUAUUGAAUCCCUCCAAGGAAGUGCACGAGUGAAGUGUAAAAAAGGGCCUAAAUGCACUAAAAACAGCCCCUAAGUUACACUUGAUGGGCAUCUCACCCUUGAGGGGUAUUGUGGUCAUUUUGUAUUCUAUUUUGUAAUACACUAUAUAUAGAACCUCAUAGGGUUUUUAGUCUUAGUUUUGAUGAAUAUUAAAAGUUGUAGACUCUUAGACAUUUCUCUCUUGUGAGAAAGACCCCUAUGGCCAAACAUUGUAACUAGGGAUUUCAACUUGAGUGUGGAAUCACUCGUGUUAGAUUCAAGCUUGUAAACGUUAGAUGCUUGGGAGAUCGAGGUCCCUCUUGUGCCACAGAAGAGAUAGGUGAAUUGUAGUGUGUAGUGUUAAGGGUCCAAGAGUGGAAUAUGCUCUUGGAUUCUUAAGAUUAUGCUUUCAUGUAGUCUAUCUUUUUAUCCCUUUGUUUAGUGUAAUCUUUUGGUGUUGCUUCUUGUGUUGUUAAAACCGUUGUUAUUAUUAUUGUAAUCCUCUUGUUCUUCACGUGUUGAUGCUGUUUUGGGUGUUAUAUACAUCAUUAAAUCUUGUAUUCUUCUUGUUGGUAGCAAAUUCGAGAGUGGUCUCCAAAAGGUCCUUGGAUCCUUAAGAUUAGUGGACUGAUUUGGAGUGUGUUUCGUAUUCUCCCUGUUUGUCUUGUAUCAGUAUGCUUGUUGAAAAGGUCUCUUUAUGGCUUAAAGUAGUCUCCUAAGAAGUGGUAUAAGAGGUUUGACUCUUUUAUGACCUCUCAUAUGUUUCAGAGAAGUAGCUACGAUAGUUGUGUCUACUUUAAGAAGGUAAGUGAUGAUUCAUUCAUGUAUCUUCUCUUGUAUGUUGAUGAUAUGUUGAUUGCAGCAAAGGAUAUGUGAGAGAUAAUAAAAGUCAAAGCCCAUCUCAGUAAGGAGUUUGACAUAAAGGAUCUAGGAGCAGCAAAGAAGAUCCUUGGCAUGGAAAUUAUGCAGGAUGGAGAAAAGUGUAAGUUAUAUUUGAGUCCGAAAAGGUAUAUUGAGAAAUUUCUUCAUUGGUUCAAUAUGAAAAAUGCCAAACGUGUAAGUACUCCAUUGGCAGCUCACUUCAAAUUCUCGGCCACUUUUUCUCCAAAAAUAGAUGAUGAGCGUGACUAUAUGUCUCGACUUCCAUACUCUAGUGCCGUUGGGUCUCUAAUGUAUGCGAUGGUGUGUUCCUGACUAGAUUUAUCUUAUUCCUUCUAUGCAAUUAGCAGAUAUAUGGAAAAUCCUGGCAAAGAACAUUGGAAAGCAGUUUAGUGGAUUUUCAAAUUCUUGCAUAGAUCUGUUGAUGUUGGUUUGCAGUUUGGGCAAAACAGAGAUGGAGUAAUAGGGUAUGUUAAUUCUGAUUUUGUAGGAGAUCGUGAUAAAAGGAGGUCCCUUACAGGCUAUGUUUUCACCAUUAGUGGUUGUGCUAUUAGUUAGAAAGCUACCUUACAGACUACGGUUUCUUUGUCAACUACUGAGGUAGAGUAAAUGGCUAUUAUAGAGGCUUUCAAGGAAGCUAUUUGGUUGAAGGGUCUAUUUAGUAAACUUAUCAAAUACUUAUAGAUUACUACAGUCUUUUGUGGCAGUUAGAGUUCUAUCUUCCAUAUAGAUGAUUAGAUGUUUCAUGAGAGUACAAAGCACAUCGAUGUUCGGUAUCAUUUUGUACGUGAAAUUAUUGCUCGUGGUGAUAUUGUGGUGAACAAGAUUAGUACUUAUGAUAAUCCCGAUGAUAUGAUGAACACUACCAAGUUCCAAGUUUGAGCAUUGAUUGGACUUGGUUAGUGUUAGCUGUUAAGAUGUGCCCUUAGGGGAUUUUGUGAAAGAGGUGGAGAGUUUGUCUUGAAAUGGAUUUGAGUUCUGAAUUAGAAUUCGUGUCAAGGUGGAGAUUGUUAGAGUUGUGACCCGAAUUUUUGUUGAUGGACCUUUAUGAUUUUGUGCCUAGGACCUAUUUGUAUGCACGUAAUAUAUAAGUGUGAUUUAGUGGGUUAUUUUAUUAUUCUUAAAAUUCAGCCUUCUCCAUAUUGUACUCUCUUUCCAUUAUAGUGAAACCUUCUCUGCCUCUGCCUGUGGUUUUUUCCCGCAAGGGGUUUCACAUAAAUCUUAGUGUUGUUCUUGUUUUCUUUUACUUGUGGUUUGCUUAUUCUAUCCAAAUCCUAACAAAAAUAAUAAACCCAUUUUAUUCCUCAUCAAGGACUUCAAGGUCCAUCUCACCUUGAGGCUCAAACUUAUGCCAUGUGCCAAGUGAUAUGGCAUCCCAGUCAGAUUAAAGACCAAUAAGGCAAGGCCAUACACUCAAAUGAUAUGCAGUCCAAGUCAAGUUCAAGAGCCAAUAAAACAUCGCCAAGUGUCCCAAAUGACAUAUUUUUUGGCCAAUCACAAGCAACUUAUCACAUGAUAAGCUUGAAAACUGAAUGGACCAAUCAGAAUGAGGCAGAAGAGGUUAUUUACACUUGGAAUGCCUACCCCUUACAACUAUAAAUAAGAGGAUUACAUAAUUUUUUUGGUCACUCUGCAAGCAUUGGAGAAAGCUCUGCAUUGACUACACAGCUCUUCAAAGAAUUAACUUACGGAGUUUUUCCCGGAUAUCAAUUCGACAAGGCAAAGUGCUAUUUGACAUUUCUGGAGAUCUAAACGCAUUUCUAGGAGGCUCAAAUCAUCCAAAAGUUUGAGAAUUACACUACAAAAUUCCCUUGACUUGGAUUGCCACAUUAUUUAAGUGUGUUGCCUUUCCUCAUUGGUCUUUAAUUUGACUGGGAUGCCACGUCACUUGACAUGUGGCAUAAGUUUGGGCCUCAAGGUGAGAUGGACUUACAACAAUUUGUUGUGAACAGUAACCAACUAAAAUAUAAUCCAAUUCAAGAAGUCUUCUUCCAUAACAAAACCUCUUCUUUCAUAGCUUACUCUUCUUUAGUUGAAUCUUCCAAUCUUAGUUAACAAUCUUGGGCUAGUAGAAGGUCUCUCUGACGACACCUCUCUUUUGCUAUUCUCCACAUAGUAUCAGAACUAAAGUCACUGACUUGUGUUUAUUUCGAGAUCGGGUUAGUGGUCAAUUCAACUAGUUUGUGCAAAUGAUUGAAGCGGUCAUGUUGAUACGAUACAAACAAGGAGAAAAUGAAACACACUCCAAAACAGUCCACUGAUCUUAAGGAUCCGAGGACCUUUUGGAGACCACUCUCAGAUUCACUACAAUGACAAUAAGAACGAGAUAUAAGGGUGUGUUUCAAUCCCAAAACAGCCACCACAAACUAAUAUUAUCAACACAAGAUGAAGAGCACGAAGAACAAUAACAAUACUAUAACAACAACUCACGGGUUCCACAAAUAAGACACACAAUGGUUACAAGAUUACAAUGAACAAAAGUAUAGAUAGAUAUACUACAUGAAGGCAUAAUAUUAAGAAAUCAAGAGCUUAUUCCACUCUUGGACCCUUAACACUACACACAACAAUUUACCUAUCUCUUACGUUGGCACAAGACGGACCUCUAUCUCCCAAGCAUCCAACGUUUCCAAGCUUGAAUCUAACACGAGUGAUUCCACAGUCAAGUUGAAAUUAAACCUAGUUACAAUUUCGGCCAAGGAGGGCCUUUAUCUCAAGAGAAAUGUCUCUAAGUUUUACACUUUCAUAUUCAUCAAAAACUAACUACUAAAAACCAUAAAAGGUUCUAUUUAUAGCAUAUUACAAAAGUAAGGUGAAAUGACCAAAAAGGUCCUUUAAUGAAUGACUUCAAGUAGGCGCCCUUGGAGUGCUAUGUAUGGGCGGUUUUGGUGUCUAUUUAGGUUCUUCUUUGCACUUCAUUUACACACACCAAGUAUUAGGUCCAACAUACGUCCUCAUAAGUCUAUCUACAUGAUCAUACAUGUAUCACACGUUAAUGGACUAGGAAUGGAGAUCAGUCUAAUUAUAAGGUAUGUAAGACAUGUAUGGAAUCAUACCUUAUGGGCGAGAAUUUGUGGGCUAUUGUUAAUGGGAGUAACACAAGUCCUCCUGCUGACAAACCAGAAAAUAGUGAUGAAUAUAAGAAGUGGAAGUAGAUUAAUGUGAAGGUAGAGUUCAUAUUGAAGAGGACCAUCUCUUCAAAUUUUUUUGACCAUAUUAUAAGGUGUAAAUUAGCUCAUGAAAUAUGGAGGACCCUCGAUUAGUUAUUCAACAAGAAAAAUAAAGCUCGACUACAGAUCUUGGAGAAUGAAUUGGCUAACACCACCCAAGGAAAUAUUUCUAUUGUCGAGUAUUUCUUAACGAUUAAGAAUUUAUGUUCUGAGAUCUCUUUAUUAAAUUUGGAUGAGGCUAUCUCUGAAGCAUGAAUGAGAGAAAUUAUCAUUUGUUGUUUUAACCUAGAAAAUAUUCCCUUUGUGACAUUGAUUCAAUGAUGGGAUCAACAAGCAUCCUUGGAGGAAUUUGAGAAUUUGUUGUCAUCACAGGAGUUACUAGCCAAACAACUGGCUAGUGAAUUGGUCAAAGAAACUGAAGGAAAUGCUCUUGUAGCUGACAAGAGGGAUGUUAAAGAAACAACAAGAGAUAUGCCUCACUCUCGAUUAUCAAGUGGUUCAAGCACUCCUAGUAAGAAUGAAAAGUCUUUUCAUGAUUAUAGUAAGAAGCCUCUCAGAUGUUAUUGAUAUGAAAAAGUAGUACACAUAAGAAGAUAUUGUUGAGCCACAGAGAGCAACAUGACUCUAACUGAAAAAGUUGUUGAAGAAGUAGAAGGCUGGGGAAGAUGCUUAGAAGCUGAGAGUCGAGUGGUAGAUGCCUUGGCUUUUAUAAAUUUGAAAAGAGAUUAGAUCUAAUAUAAUACAAUCCAUCAUGUGGAGAAGAAAGGUACUGACAAGAAGCAAGAAAAUUUUGAAGACGUUUAGACAGGCGACACGGUAGCUGCUCUUAAGGAAAUCAAAGAAAAAAAAUCCUAAAAAUGACAAUAAAAAUUUGGACAUGGAGGAUAUUGAAGUAAAUUCUGAGCAAACAGUAUCCAAAAGUUUAUAUGCCAGUGAUGACUUAAAUGGAGAAAGCACUAAGAAAGAUGUAGUAGAAGUUGUAGUCUCUGAUCAAUCAUCUAUUGUAUCAAGGUUAAUUAUUGGCUCAGAGCAAAUAUUGAAAGUUCAUGAAUAAGCUAAAGAUCAAAUGACUGAUGAAGUUAAAAGAGAGUCUUAAUUUCAGAUGUAGAGAGACGUUGUAUGAUUGAAGAACUAGAUAGGGAAUCUAGUGGUGGAUCCUAUUAUGGUAUUGAGACUUCACAGAAAAUUGGUGAUGGUACAGAUGAAUUCUCCUUGUGUUAGUAAGUUCUAAAAGUUUGAAUCCUAGAGUUUCAAACUUUUUCAUCACAUGAGUGUCUCCAGAUAAUAAAGUUGUGGAGGAGUUCAGAGAAAGGGGGACCUUGAGAACUCAACAUCAUAAAACUCAUCAUGGUGAUGAUUCAUAUGGUUCUCAAAGGGCAAAGAGGACUAUUGUCAAGCUAUCUUGCUACAGAGAUGAUAAUUUUGUCAUAAAUAUUCAUGCUUCUUUGUAGGACAAAUUGAUGAUGGAAGUCUUCUUCAUUGAAAAAAGAAUGGGGAGUUGAAAAAAAAACUUGCUAAGAGUUUCAAGGCAUGGUUCAAAGCUUUGUUUGAGUUCGUCUGCAACAAUUUUGGGAUAGCUUCCAAAAAAUCACUUUAAGGGGAGUGUGAAAAAUAUCUCAAGUGGAUUUUUUGGAAGAAUGAAUAUCAUAGUUUUCUAGUUAAAUUUCUAGAAUAGCCUAGUGAAUAAUAUCAUAGUUUUCUAGUAAAGUCUCUAGAAUACUCUACCAUAGUAUUUAGGAUAAUUAUCUUAGAAAAAUAUCUAGAUUAUUCUUAGAUAGCUAGAAGAUAAAAGUUGCCUAGAUUAUUCUUGUAGAAGUAUCUAGAAUAGUAUCUAGAACAAUCCAUGGAUAAGUAUAAAUUGGGAGAGCCUUUGUACGUUUGUAUCAACUAAAAAACAAUCCAAUUCAAGAAUUCUUUUUCCAUAACAAAGCCUUCUUUCAUAGCUUUCUCUUCUUUAGUUGAAUCUUCCGAUGUUAGUUCCGAUCUUAGUUAAGGAUCUUAGGCUAGCAGAAGUUCUUUCCAACGACACCUUUCUUUUGCUAUUCUCUACAUACAGAUGCAAAGUAGGAUGUUUAUUCACAUUUAGAAAGUCUCAAAAAUGUACCUUGCAAGUUGUUUCCCCCCGAGGCUUAAGAACUCAAGCAACUCCAAGUUUACAAUUCUGGUGGAAUACUCCCGCUGAAGAUAAUGAAAAUUCAUACAGUUCUGUGCAGUUUGACAAACCUGUUAGAAUGUGACCACACAAGUGGUUGGAAAUGAUUGAAAUGAUCUUGAUUCUGUGAAGAUGAUGACAUAUAUCUACAGGAAGACUCCUGAUAAAUGAUUAUAUGUGAGAGCUAAAUUUCCAAAGAGGAAAUGUUGAAAAUGGAGAAUGGAAUAGAGCCAGUAAGUUGGUUGUUGACUAAAACCAACUCCUGUAGGUUCUGAAGGUUCCCAAUCUCCUUGGGAAUCUCACCCGUGAAAUUAUUGUACCUGAGAUCGAUCACCUUCAAUCAAUUAAAUGAGACAAAUCCUGUGGGAGGUAUCUAGAAACUGUUUUUGCUUAGAUUGAGAGGUACGAGAAAAGAGAGGUUCUCCAAAUGUGGUGAAAUGGUUCCAAGACUAUUCAUGUUGGAUAUAUUUAGUGUAGUCACCCUAUGGUGGCAAGAGCCACAAGUGACUCCAAUCCAAUCACAAACUGAAGCUUGAGAAGACCAAUUCUGGGUUAAGGGAUGAGAAGAAUUUAGAUUAAAGCUGGCUUUUAUGGAAAGUAGAGCUGAUUGAUCUGCAUUGAUAUUUUGAGUAUGCAGUCUCUAAGAAGUAGAGCUGCAAGACUACUACUUAAAGAAUGAAAGAGUAGUCUUUCUCCAUCAUUGCUACUGUAUAUAAAAUAAGGAAAAAUAAAUGUGCAGAUAUAAAUAGGGAUAAAAGUUUGCUAAGCAAUGAUUACCUUAUUAUCAAGGAAAGAAGGCCAAGCAACGCCGUAUGUAAGGGGAUUGUAAAUUUUCCAGAUUAGGACCACUUGAGUUUUUUAAAGUCCUAUGAAAUUAAAGUUUGUUUCGAAAAAAAAGGCGUUAGAUUCCGUCUUUAUUGAAUGUUCUAUGAAGUGUGACUUGAUUGUCUGACUUUGGCAUUAUCUUGAAUGUCACGAUCCGAAUCGAGGCCCUGACCGCGACGAACAUCCCGAACUAUGAAGGCUCGAGAGCCCUUUUCUAACCGAAAAUCAUAAGCAUAAUUCAUAAACUAUAAAAAUGCGGAAAACAAAACAAAACGGAAUCAUGGUCAUCUUAAUCUAUCAUUUAAACAAUACGGACAUAAGUUCAAUAAGACCCAAAACCAUCUAACACAAGUCUGUGAGAUCUCUACAAAACUAAAAAGAACAUCUGUCUGAAAUUGGGACAAGGCCCCCGAUUGGACCGUGUGCUAAAACCAAAUGAAUACAUUUCAGUGAAAUCAAGCCUUCCAAAACAAGGGAGGCUCACCAACUUCAAACGUCUGAAAUCGAUCUACUGCUUAGCGGGACCCGGGACUGAGCCUCAGAUCCUAAACUAUAGGGUGUCAAUACAAAAUAUAUUGGUACGUAGAACAAUCCAAAAACAAAAUAUAUUUUUAUACAACAAAGGUCAGAGUAUUUCAUAAAAUCAUGUCAGCAUAAUUUUUUUUUAAAGUACAUGGGCAGUUUCAAUAGACUUUAAAACAUUUCUGUAAAUCUCAACUCUUUGUCUUACUUCUGAGCUAGGUGAGGUACACCUUACAAUUCUACAAUCCCAUGGGCUAUAUGGAAUCCGCCCUUGACUUGAUGUUCAAGCCCCCAACUCAAGUUUUCCACAAGGGGUGGAGUUUCUGAUUCUUAUAAAGGGGCACAAGGCCAACAUAUAAUCUCCUAUUUAGGAUAUAAUAAAACCCGUAUCGACAAAACAUGAUUUCAGGCAAUGAGUUUUUCAGACUCAUGCCUUCUUCAGGUAACCACCUAACUCUCUUUAAUCCCAUUUUUAACCCUUUCUAAACAUGCAUCUUUCUAAACUCAAAACCUGAAUGAAAAUUUGCAUUUUGUUUUGUUCUGUGUGUAUCAUGGUAUUUUCUAUUUUGGUAUCAUCAUACCAAGACUUGCAAGUCAUAUAUCUAAGCCAUAUCAUAUUUUGCUUUUGGUUUUCAAUCAACCCAUUCAUUCAACCAUAAAAAAAUAUUUAAACAAUGCAAGAGAGUUCUUAAUUCAAAACAUGUGAAACUUAUGCAAAUGCUCUCUCUUUUCAAUACUUUAACACAUGGUGGUCAUUUUCUUUCUAACAAUACAUGCAACUCUUUUAAUUAUCCAAUAGAACAUUUGCAAACAAGAAAACACCCUCUCUUCAAUUCAUAACCAAUAUCAAGUUUGUAAGCAAUAUUAAAACAUUCGUCUCAUGCUUCUAAUCAUGCAAUUUAAUAACCCACAAUAUGUGAGAUCAAAUGGUAUCAUAACAAGAGGGGGGAAAAUUUAUUGUAUAUGCUCUCAAUUCCACUUUUGCAAAAUUAAAAAUACUUCUAUGUAUACAAACAUGAUUUAAUUCUAUGAAAGGGCCUCAAGACCAAAACUCUAUAUCAUCAAAAAGGUUCACAAUGCAUAAUCUUUAAAGUAUUUUUAGAACCCUUCAUAAAUGCAUGAUUUCAUAACUUUAAAACUUACUAAAAAUAUAUGCACUAUGACCAUGAAGUUUAUGAUAGCCCCACAUACCUUAAGUUCCUUUGUUUGAAAAAUAGAACCCUAAUCUUGAAACUUUUCUUGAGAAUCUUGAAUUGAAAAGCUUGAAUUCUUGUAUCUUGGAGAAGAGGGAAGGGUUUUUUUUAAGAGUGAAUUGAAGAGAAUAAGAAAUUUUGUGUCUUAAUUAUGUUAUUAAUCGGGAUUAGAUGAAUAGAAUUGAUAUAAAAGGACAUAAUUACCCCUCAGGCAUUUAAACUCGUAACUGAAUCCCGGUUUGGAGGUCCACCGCGAUGCGCUAGGGGGCUUAUCGCCAUAGGCACCGUGACGCAGUACAAUCACAAGGAAGUACUAUUUUUGUGAUCCAAACAUGACCCAAUCCUCAUUUGAAAAAUCUAAAACUUCUCCGAGACAUGCCAUUUACACCCUUAAACGUGAAUUGACUCAAAAAUCUAUGUCUCGGGGUUGGGAAGACCAAAUUUAAAAUCUUUGAAGUUAGGAGGCUGAAAAUAUGCCUAAGAUAUCAACACUUAGAAAAUUUUUCAUGUCCUUAACUUUUCAUGCAUGCAACUAAAAGUUGAAACUAGUUAAGAAUAGUACGGGGUGUUACAUUAUGCCCCCUUGGGAUCAUUCAUCCCUGAAUAAUGAUGACUCGGGACACAACAAGAACGAUUUCAAGCAAUACAAUGAAAGAAAAGAGUACUAUAAGAUUUGUACCUUCCAUAACAUCAUCCACGGUUUCAAAGAGAGUCGGAUACCUCAUAUGCAUGUCAUCCUCCGACUCCCAAGUAGCUUCUUCAGCUUUUUAAUUCUUCCAUAACAUCUUCACCGAAAUUUUCUCCUUACUCCUCAACUUUCGAACUUGAUGAUCUAAAAUGGCAAUGGAUUCUUCUUCGUAUGACAAAGAGUAUUUUACAUUAAUUUCUUCCACAUGCAACAUAAGAGAAUGAUCUCCAAUAUAUUUCUUCAGCAUAGAUAGAUGGAAUACAAAAUGUACAGAAGCUAGACUCGCAGGCAAAUCUAAUUUAUAAGUAACUCCACCAAUCCUCCUUGUAAUUUGAUAUGGGCCUAUAUAAUGAGGACUAAGCUUCCCUUUAUUUCCAAAUCACAUGACUCCCUACAUAGGGGAGACGUUUAGAAAUACCCAAUCAUCAACCUUAAAUUCCAACUCCCUUUGUCUAACAUUGGCGUAGAACUUUUGGAGACUCUAAGCUAUCUGAAGUCGCUCUCUAAUGACCUUCACUUUCUCUAUCACUUGAUGAACAAGGCCAGGCCCAAACAAAUUGGUUUUACCCAUUGCAUACCACCCAAUUGGGGAUCUACAUCUCCACCCAUAAAAAGCUUCAAAAGGAGUCAUCUGGAUACUGGAAUGAUAGCUAUUAUUAUAGGAGAAUUCUAUCAAUGACACGUGAUCCACCUAACUACCCUUGAAGUCAAUUACGCAAGCUCUCAGCAUAUCAUCUAAGGUCUGAAUAGUGCGUUCUGCUUGCGCAUCUAUUUGAGGGUGAAUGGCAGUACUAAGGUUUACUUGGGUAGCUAAACCCCUCUAAAAAGACUGCCAAAACUGAGAAGAAAACUGUGUUCCUUGAUCGAAAAUAAUAGACAUUGGAGACCCAUGCAAACGGACUAUCUCGCGAAUGUACAACUUAGCAUAGUCAUCCCUCGAAUAGUUGGUCCGUACUGGAAGAAAAUGGGCGGACUUGGUCAUCCUAUCUACAAUCACCCAAAUGGAGUCAUAUGGGUUUCAUGAUUUCGGAAGUCCUGCAAUGAAGCCCAUGUUGAUCAUCUCCCACUUUCACAUAGGCAGAGUUAUCUCUUAGAAAGUGCCACCUGGCUUCAAAUGUUUAAUCUUAACUUGUUGAAAAUUCAAACACUUAACCACAAAGUUAGCAAUAUCUCUUUUCAUAUUAUUCCACCAGAAAAUAGCCUUAAGGUCAUGAUACAUUUUAGUAGAAUCGGGGUGAACCACAUACCUAGAAAUGUGAGCUUCAUCAAGAAUUCUUUCUCAUAACCUAUCUAUAUUUGGCACACAUAGCCUUUCUUGAUACCUCAAAAUCUCAUCACCGCCAAUUUCAAAAGCCAUUACCUUUUUUCCACCAACAUCUUUCUUAAUCAGCAUCAAGAUGGGGUCCUCAGCCUAUUUCUCCUUAGAUUCUGCAUAAAGGGAGAAUUUUACUACCUCGUGAAUGAAUAUCUCUCCAUCUUCAGAAUCUAAGAGUAGAACUCCCAAAGUUGCAAGCUGAUGAAUAUCUUUUACCAUAUUCCUCUUUCCUUCCUCCACAUGAGAAAGGCCACCCAUGGAAAACCUACUAAGGGUAUCAGUCGCUACAUUAUCCUCGCUGAAUGAUAAUGCAAACUCAUUUGAUAAUCCUUUAACAAUUCCAGCCACUGCCUUUGCCUGAGAUUUAGUUCUUUCUAUGUGAAAACAUACUACAAAUUUUUGUGGUCAGUAAAUAUAUCAAUAUGCACCCCAUAAAGAUAAUGAUGCCAAAUAUUUAGUGCGAAUACCACUGCCGCUAAUUCCAAGUCGUAGGUGGUAUUGUUCUUUUCAUGCACCUUCAACUGUCUAGAUGCAUAGGACACCACCUUACCAUGCUGCAUAAUCACACACCCAAGUACCACUCGAGAUUCAUCACAGUACACAACAAAUCCCUCUGUACCCUUAAGAAGGGUCAAAACUGGUGUAGUAGUCAACUUCUCUUUCAGUUUAUCAAAACUAUCCUCACAAGAGUCAGACCAUAAAAAUUUUACCUUUUUCUGAGUCAACCUAGUAAGUGGAGUAGCUAUGGAGGAGAAACUCUCUACAAAUCCUCUAUAAUACCCUACCAAAUCUAUGAAGCUCCGAAUAUUGAUUGGAGUCAUGGGUUUGUGCCAUUUUUAACCUGCCUCAACCUUUUGGGGGUCAACUCUAAUUCCUUCACUAGAAACAAUAUGCCACAAGAAAGCAAUAACACUAAGAUAGAAUUCACACUUGGAAAACUUUGCAUACAAAUCAUGGUAAUUGAGGGUCUAAAGGAUAGUUCGAAGGUAAUUUGCAUGAUCCUCCACAUUCUUAGAGUAAACCAAUAUGUCGUCAAUAAAGACUAUAACGAACAAAUCUAGAAACUGAUGAAACACCCUAUUCAUUAGGUCUAUAAAAGUUACGGGGUCAUUAAUCAGUCUGAAGGACAUAACUAAGAAUUCAUAACGACCAUAUCAGUUCGAAAAGCCGUUUUAGGAAUAUCAGCCUCCCUAACCUUCAACUGAUGAUACCCCAAACGAAGGUCUAUCUUAUAGAAAUAUUUAGCACCCUGAAGUUGGUCAAAAAGAUCGUUAAUUCUGGGAAAAGGGUAUUUAUUCUUGACUAUGACUUUAUUCAGAUGGAGGUAAUCUAUACACAUAUGGAGAGAGCCAUCUUUCUUGCACAAGAAGAGUAUCGGAGCACUCCAGGGAGAGACACUAGGAUGAAUAAAACCUUUGUCAAGAAGGUUUUUUAAAAGUUCUUUCAAAUCUUUCAAUUCUACAGGAGCCAUUUUAUAUGGCGGAGUAGAAAUAAGACGGGUGUCUGGCAACAAAUCGAUGCCAAAAUCUAUCGGCCUAUCUGGUGGUAUCCCGGGAAGAUUAUCAGGAAAGACUUCUGUGAAUUCAUUAACUAUGGGAGUAGACUGAAGGGAGGACUUUCAGUGCUAGAAUCUUUGACCCGAACAAGAUGGUAUAUAUAACCCUUUGAUAUAAGCUUACAAGCUCUAACAUAGGAUAUGAAUUUCCCCUAGGUGCUAUAGAGUAUCCCUCCAACUCUAUCACCAACUUAUUUGGGGAAGAAAAGGUAACCUUUAUGGUUCUACAGUCUAACAUAGAUAACAUGAAUAGAGAUAAUCCAUUCCCAAAAUAGCAUCAAAAUCAAUCAUUUCCAUUUCAACAAGAUUAACCACAGUAUCAUGAUGACUAAUAGACACCACACAAUUUCUAUAAACUUUCCUAGACACAAUAGAAUCACCAAUAGGUAUGGAAACAACUAAAGGUACCAAAAUAUUUUAAGGCUCAAAACCAAAACUCACUAACACAUAUGGUGUCACAUAGUACAAGGUAGAUCCAGGAUCAAGUAAUACAUACACAUCAUGGGAUAAAAUCUAUAAUAUACCCAUAAUAGCACCUAGCAAAGCCUCAGCCUCCUGGCAGUUAGAUAGAGCAUACAACCUAUUACAACCACUUCCAGUAGAUGAAGUAGUAAACUUAGGUGGUGGAGCUGUGGAAUUUUCUUGAGACCUAGCACUACCAAAAUUUCCUCUUGUGGAAGGAUAGUCUCUCUGAAAAUGGCCUGACUAACCAUAAGUAUAGCACACCAACCUACCCAACUAACACUUCCUUGGGUGAUGUUUACUGCAAGUCCUAUAUCAUGUAAAAGAUCGAUACGGCUGAGCUACACUACCUUGGGACUGAGUACCCUACACACCCAGUCUAUGGUUAGACUGAGAAUUCUGAAAUCACCGAUUGACUGGAGGUCUAGGCGUCGGGGCACUAGCUGAUGAUUGAGCAUUGCUCCAAAAUUUCUUCUUAGACCAUUGGUUACCCUAAUUUCUACCUUGAUGCUGAUUGGUAUUCUGAUCUACAGACCUAGAUUUUUUUUGCCUUUCUUUCUUUCCCCCUUACCUCAGCCAACCUUUUUUUCUCCUCUUCUGCCUGCUACAUGUGCACCAAUAUUCUGGAAAAAUCCAUGUCCAUAUUCAAUAUAUCCCCCUCACAUUCUAGAACCAAAUCAUCUGAGAGACCAAAUGCAAACUUCCUCAUGCGAGCUCUUAUAUUACCCACCAAUUCUGUAGCAUAACGGGACAACUGGGUGAAUGUUAAUGUAUAUUCUUUGACACUUAUCUUUCCUUAUUCCAGGUUCAUAAAUUGCUUCCCUCGGCUCUUGGAGAAAGAAAUGAUCCAGGAAAUCUUCCACAAACUCACCCCAUACUGAAGGUUUAACAUCUCCACCCCUCAAAUCUUCCCAUUCAUUGUACCACUGGUUAGCUACAUCCUUCAACUGAUAGGCUGCCAACUCACAACAUAUGAAAACAAAUGGUAUCAUAACAAGAGAGGGGGAAAUUCAUUGCACAUGAUCUCAAUUCCACUUUUGCAAACUUGAAAAUACUUCUAUGUAUACAAACAUGAUUUAAUUCUAUGUUAUACGGGUUUCAAGGGAUCGAGACCAUUUACUAGAAGCCAAGCUCGGGAACUACAAAAACUUCAAGGCGCGUUUAUGAAAAUAGAUGCGGUUGAGCUUGUUGCUAACUCGCCCAAGGGAGUUUAGCCUUAACAUGUGAGGGAUGACCUUAGGUUCUAAAAAUACACCCAAGGCUUCCCCAAAACACUCCACACCUGCCACCCCUUCAUUAAGGGUAAAGGGGUCCUUUUGCAACACCUUUGUAAUAAACUAUUUAAAUAUUUUCCUUAGUCUUGUUCCUUAGUUAGAUUAUUUUUAAAUCAAUAUUGUAAAAUUGAAACAUCAUUCUCUUAAGAGAGAGUAGACCACCAUUGACAUCACAAAAGAUGAUUUUCUUCUUGUGUUGUGUGUAUCGACUAAAAAUGUGAGUUCUUGAGUGAACCGAGUUCCUCUUGGAUUUGCGUAAGAACUUGGUUCUUGUUAAAUUAUUUUUUAGAGGUUUUAGAGUUUGAUACACUCUAUAGUUGAUACCUAGUGAGUUCUCUUUAUUGUUUUUUAGUGUCAAGUUACCUAUCCUUUUUAUUGUUUUAAGUUUGUGUUUGCUUCCUGUAUUGUAUUGUUGUCUUGUUGUUGCGGGUUUAGGCAUGUUUUUGUGACUAUUUACGGACUAUUUUGGUGUAGUAGAUACCUUUUGGUAUCAUUUGGUAUCAGAGAGAAGGCUGGUCGUGUUCUUUCACCACCAAUCUUGGGCUCUCCUAGUUGAAAAUCAUAAAAAAAGGUGUUGUCGGGCUACUUGUGUUUGGCCAAGAAGUUGUCCAGAUUUAGGUGUUUUUGCUUGUCUUAGUGGUUUCGUGUUUUACCUUUUUGUUUCCCUAUCACACUUGAGUCGAAGGUCCAAGAUUUGAGCUCUUGUUAAGUGUUGUUGAAGGGAUGGACAGCUUGGAAAUUAUUGUUGUUCAAAGUGUUCUUGUUGUUGUUCGUAUUGUUCUUGAGUAAUAUUCAACAAAAGGCCUUGUUUGAUUUGAAGAGGAGAAGAAAGAGGUAAAGUCUUUUGUUUGUCUUGGAAUUAGUUUCAAAACAACACCAAAGAGGCAAAUAAACAAAAGACCUCCCAAAAGCUUACUUACCAAAAGAGUGUCAAACCUUUUUCUAAAAGAACCAAAAGAGGAAAGGGACAAAGCCAAAGAAAAAAGGUGUUUGGCCAUUUUGGUACAAGUUGGUGAAAUGUUGAUUGAUACCUUUGACCUUUGGAAAGAGAGUCCAAAGUCUUUCCUUUUCACUCAAAAACCAAAAAUCCUCACCAAACAAACAAGAUUGAACAACUCAAGUUAGAAAACAUCAAAGUGCAAACAAAAACAACAUCACCAACGGCCAAAUUACUGGGCCACGCCAAUAACUAGGCUCAAGUCAUUGGACAUUCUUAGUUUCUCUCCUUGUCUCUACUAGUUUCUUUCUAUUAACUCCUACACUAGUUGGGAACUAAGUAAAUAUCUACUAAGUAGUGAACUAGUUUUCAAGUACGUCUUUCGUGUUAACGUUCCUUGUGGUGCUUUGCUCAUUUAUAAUUCGUAGUUAUUCUUGGUUCAAGUGCGUACAAGACUUUCUUGAGUCUUCCAAACCAUUGUAUUCAACAUGAAUAACCUUCUCGUUUUCAAGUCAAAAUUAUAUCAAUUCUCAAAACAUUUCAUGUCAUGCACUUUAAGAUGUUUUCAAACAAUUUACAUCAAAUGAACAUUUAAAAUAAAUUCACAUCAAGAGAGGAAAUUUCAUAUUGUUCAUGCUCUCAAGUUAACAUCUUUUCGGAACACAUGCAUAUACAUAUAUCAUAUAGCAAAUCACUUUGGGAGUAGUCCUAAAGGCCAAAUAAAUAUCAUAAAAUGUUUAAAACAUAAUCAUAUUCGUAAUUUCAAAACCUGUAAUACCCCGAGAAAUUUUUUGUUGAAAUUUUGUGCGUAAACGUGUUGGUUUCUAUCUUCUAGAAUGAAUCAUAAAUUUUCGUGUGGAAUGUCUUAGAUUAUGACCCACCAUUGUGUAGAGUAUCUAAUAAGAUUUCCAAUGAUAUGGGGAUCAUCCAAAACGGACACUCGAGCGAUGAGUUAUGAGCAUUUCGAUCGAACCAUGAAUAGUAGGGAACAAUAAAACGUGCAGGAAAAAGUACUGAGGCCUGACAUAUUUUUGCUCCAACUUUAAAAUAUCAUAACUCCUUGUACAUAAUGAUCUGAGUGAUCCUCUAUAUAUCAACGAAAAUCUCUGCGAGUCCUCUUUUCAAUGAAAUUGGUUUCAUCCAAUUUGUCUAUCGGAGCAAAAAGUUAUGGUUGAUCUACUUCAGCCUAUCAAAAUCAAAGUUUUGGGUCAACUUCAAACGAUCAUAACUUCUCGUACAAAAUGAUCAGGGUGAGAUACUAUAUAUCAACGGAAAUAUAUGAGAGUCUUCUUUCUAAUGUAAUUGGUUUCAUCUAAUUUGGAUAUCGGAGUAAAAUGUUAUGGUUGAUCUACUUCAGACUAUCAAAAUAGUCCACCAAAGCACAGAUUCGAGAAUUAUUUGAUUUUUAGGGGUAUUUUGGUCAUUCUCCCUCACCCAAAAUCCAUCCAAACCCUAUAUUAAAGCCUAUUAGAAGCAUUAUAUGUUAUAUUUCAUCAAAUUCCCUCAAAAAGAAAACUCUAAGCUCCAACAUCCAACUUUAAGAAACUCCAAAGUUCACCAUUAAUUCUGCAAAUUUAUUCAAGAUUCCAAGUUCCUAGUUCAAGAACUCCAAGAACCAUCAUUCAAAGGUAUGAUUAACAUCUCGAAAAUGAGUAUCGAUCUAAAGUUCAUCAUUCAAGGUAUAUGGGGUUUUUCAACAAGAACUCUCUUUUGUUCUUGUUCCCAAAAGUAAUUUUUUUUACAAAGGCAUGAUUUUUAUUUGAUUUUUAUGAAUUUGAAGCAUGAACCUAUAUUUUAUGAUGAUUAUUAUGAAAUAUUGAUGUUUAUGAUUUUGAAAGAUGAAUUUACAUGUGUGGAGAUAUAAAGCAUGAAUCUUGAACGAUAUUUAUCAUGAUUUUGAUAUUUGGAUCGUGAAUCCCCAUUGAAAAUUGUGUUUUUUUGAGAAAGUGUGUGUUAUAAGCACGUUAAUUCGAGUGUGAAAGAAAUCCACAACGUGGUUGAUUUUGAUAGAUGGGAAGCAUGAUGGCUCCCGAUGUAUAUUUUAUAUUACUGAAAUUGUUUUAUUGUGAUUGUCUUUAAAAUGAUCUGAGCUAAGUCUGGGAGAAAUAUUUCGCAUCGAGUGGGAGGUAUAAAGUGACUUUACUUUCCUAGAACUACAUGACCCCGUAGGAGUGAGCUUGAGGCUGAUUUAUAUAGUGAUCACUAGUUUGUGUGGAUUUGAUAUCUAUAGUCCUACUCCGAUGGCAAGGAUAGGAUGACUCUCCCCAACGUGGGUUGUACAUAACUCACAUGGUUUAUGUCGGUUAUAGGAUCUCCCAGUGUGUGCAUAUUUCCUUGUGUCUAUGGUGAAUGGUAAAGUGAUUUGAAAGUGGAAUUGUGAAAGUUAUUCUUUCAAAAGAUUUAAAUGAUAUUUACAUUAUGAGAAUUGAUAUUCUUGAUGAAUUGAAAGUGAUUGACAAAUUAUAUGAUGACUCACAUGUGUUAUUGUACUUAUUUCAUCCUCUCAUGAUUAUGAUGAUUUUCUUCGGGCUAUGUGAGUCUUUCAUACAUCCUGCAUAUUUCUUAUAAAUAUUUAUGAUGAUGAUGUUUAUACAACUGCAUACACCCCCAUAUACUCAGUUCCUUUCCAUGGUACUGACCCAUAUCUUCGGANNNNNNNNNNNNNNNNNNNNNNNNNNNNNNNNNNNNNNNNNNNNNNNNNNNNNNNNNNNNNNNNNNNNNNNNNNNNNNNNNNNNNNNNNNNNNNNNNNNNNNNNNNNNNNNNNNNNNNNNNNNNNNNNNNNNNNNNNNNNNNNNNNNNNNNNNNNNNNNNNNNNNNNNNNNNNNNNNNNNNNNNNCUCGUUUUAUUGAUUUUCUUAGAGGCUUGUCAGACUAGUAUAGAUGUUGGGAGUUGACUAAUAAGUCGUAUUUUAUUAUCUUUCUGAAAUUCUUUUAUUCUUAGAUGAUGAUUACUCUAUUGAUAUUUGAGGGUUAUUUAUGGAAACCCCGUUGAUUCAUGUUGAACUGAAUGAAAAUGGCUCAAAGGGUUAGCUUAGGGCUACUCGUAGCCUCAAGCACCGUGUGACGCUCUAGAACUCAUUUUCAGAACGUUACAAACUUGGUAUCAGAGCCUAAGGUUUUAAGAUAUCCUAGGGUGUCUGACAAGCCAUGUUAAGUAUAGUCUUGAUCAUUGGUGUGUAGCGCGCUACAUCUAUGAGAAAGAGGUUACAAGACGUUUUAGGAUAAAGUGUGAUUCUUUCUUUCAGAAGUCUAUCGUGCUUAGAGAUCACAAGUUGUUUGCCAAGUUUAGUAAGUGUGAGUUUUGGCUAAGGUUAGUUGCUUUUUUAGGUCAUAUCAUUUCUUUCGAGGGUAUUAGAGUUGAUCUCCAAAAGACCGAAGUUGUUAGAAAUUGGCCUAGACCUAUUUCUUCGACUGAUAUAUGAAGUUUCUUGGGUUUAGCUGGCUAUUACUGCCAUUUUGUUGAUGGUUUCUCCUCUAUAGCAUCUCCUAUGACUCGAUUGACCUAAAAGAAAGUGAAGUUCUUGUGGUCCGAAUAUUGUGAGAAGAGUUUUCAGGAGUUGAAGAUUCGACUCACUUCAGCCUCUGUUUUGACUUUGUUUGAUGGUGUUGAUGGUUUUGUGGUGUACUGUGAUGCUUCGAGAGUUGGGUUGGGUUGCGGGUUGAUGCAGAAGGGUAAGGUGAUAACUUAUGCUUCUAGACAGUUGAAACCCCAUGAGAAAAAUUACCCCACCCAUGACCUUGAGUUGGCUGCUGUUGUGUUUCCUUUGAAAAUAUGGAGACACUAUUUGUAUGGUGUCUGUGUUGAUGUUUUCACUGAUCAUAAGAGUCUGCAGUAUGUGUUUACCCAGAGAGAAUUGAAUCUUAGGCAGAGACGAUGGUUAGAAUUGUUAAAGGACUAUGAUAUGAGUGUGAUGUACCAUCCGGGCAAGGCCAAUGUUGUGGCGGAUGCCCUAAGUAGAGUGUCCAUGGGUAGUGUUUCACAUAUAGUAGAAGGUAACAAAAAGUUGGCUCGUGAUGUAUAUCGUUUGGCUAGAUUGGGGGUUAGGUUGUUUGACUCUGCUGAAGGUAGUAUAGGGGUUCAAAGUAGUUUUGAAUCCUCCUUGGUUUCAGAAGUAAAGGAAAAAACAUACUUAGAUACUAGUUUGGUCAGACUGAAUUAGUCAGUCAAGGACCAAAAAGUAGAGGUUUUCUCCCAAGGGGGAGAUGGUGUGUUAAGAUUACAGGGUAUAUUGUGUGUCCCAAAUGUUGAUGAUUUGAGAUAGAGGAUUAUGGCUGAAGCACACGGGGCGCGAUAUUCUAUUCAUCCUGGUGCCACCAAGAUGUACCGAGACUUACAGGAAAUCUAUUGGUGGAGUAGCAUGAAGAAAGAUAUAGCAGCAUUUAUAGCUAAGUGUGCAACAUGCCAACAGGUUAAGGUUGAACACCAAAGACCUGGUGGUAUGAUGCAAGAGUUUAGUAUUCCCACCUGGAAGUGGGAAGAGAUAAAUAUGGACUUCGUGAUUGGUUUACCUCUUUCUUGAUGCCAUCAUGAUUCUAUUUGGUUUGUGGUUGAUAAGUUGACUAAGUCUGCUCAUUUCUUUCCUGUUCAUACUUCAUAUACUGGUGAGGAUUACGCUAGAUUGUAUAUCCAAGAGCUAGUCAGACUGCAUAGAGUUUCCUUGUCUAUCAUUUUNNNNNNNNNNNNNNNNNNNNNNNNNNNNNNNNNNNNNNNNNNNNNNNNNNNNNNNNNNNNNNNNNNNNNNNNNNNNNNNNNNNNNNNNNNNNNNNNNNNNNNNNNNNNNNNNNNNNNNNNNNNNNNNNNNNNNNNNNNNNNNNNNNNNNNNNNNNNNNNNNNNNNNNNNNNNNNNNNNNNNNNNNNNNNNNNNNNNNNNNNNNNNNNACCAUCCAGACCUUAGAGGAUAUGUUGAGAGCUUGUGCACUUGACUUUAAGGGAAGUUGGGAUGAUCACUUACUGUUGAUAGAGUUUGCUUACAAUAAUAGUUUCCACUCUAGUAUUGGCAUGACUCCAUUUGAAGCCUUAUAUGGGAGGAAGUGUGCAUCACCCAUAGGUUGGUUUGAGGUGGGUGAAGCGGCUGUAAGUGGUCCUGAUUCGGUAUUUGAGGCUAUGGAAAAAGUUAAGUUUAUUAGAGAAAGGUUGAAAACUGCGCAGAGUCAUCAGAAGUCAUUUGUGGAUGUUAGAAGGAGAGACCUUGAGUUUGAAGUUGGUGACCUAGUGUAUCUGAAAAUUUCACCCAUGGGGGGAUGAAGAGAUUCGGAAAGAAGGGGAAGCUUAGUCCCCGUUAUGUUGGUCCUUACAAAAUUCUUAGCCGUGUUAGUAAGGUAGCUUNNNNNNNNNNNNNNNNNNNNNNNNNNNNNNNNNNNNNNNNNNNNNNNNNNNNNNNNNNNNNNNNNNNNNNNNNNNNNNNNNNNNNNNNNNNNNNNNNNNNNNNNNNNNNNNNNNNNNNNNNNNNNNNNNNNNNNNNNNNNNNNNNNNNNNNNNNNNNNNNNNNNNNNNNNNNNNNNNNNNNNNNNNNNNNNNNNNNNNNNNNNNNNNNNNNNNNNNNNNNNNNNNNNNNNNNNNNNNNNNNNNNNNNNNNNNNNNNNNNNNNNNNNNNNNNNNNNNNNNNNNNNNNNNNNNNNNNNNNNNNNNNNNNNNNNNNNNNNNNNNNNNNNNNNNNNNNNNNNNNNNNNNNNNNNNNNNNNNNNNNNNNNNNNNNNNNNNNNNNNNNNNNNNNNNNNNNNNNNNNNNNNNNNNNNNNNNNNNNNNNNNNNNNNNNNNNNNNNNNNNNNNNNNNNNNNNNNNNNNNNNNNNNNNNNNNNNNNNNNNNNNNNNNNNNNNNNNNNNNNNNNNNNNNNNNNNNNNNNNNNNNNNNNNNNNNNNNNNNNNNNNNNNNNNNNNNNNNNNNNNNNNNNNNNNNNNNNNNNNNNNNNNNNNNNNNNNNNNNNNNNNNNNNNNNNNNNNNNNNNNNNNNNNNNNNNNNNNNNNNNNNNNNNNNNNNNNNNNNNNNNNNNNNNNNNNNNNNNNNNNNNNNNNNNNNNNNNNNNNNNNNNNNNNNNNNNNNNNNNNNNNNNNNNNNNNNNNNNNNNNNNNNNNNNNNNNNNNNNNNNNNNNNNNNNNNNNNNNNNNNNNNNNNNNNNNNNNNNNNNNNNNNNNNNNNNNNNNNNNNNNNNNNNNNNNNNNNNNNNNNNNNNNNNNNNNNNNNNNNNNNNNNNNNNNNNNNNNNNNNNNNNNNNNNNNNNNNNNNNNNNNNNNNNNNNNNNNNNNNNNNNNNNNNNNNNNNNNNNNNNNNNNNNNNNNNNNNNNNNNNNNNNNNNNNNNNNNNNNNNNNNNNNNNNNNNNNNNNNNNNNNNNNNNNNNNNNNNNNNNNNNNNNNNNNNNNNNNNNNNNNNNNNNNNNNNNNNNNNNNNNNNNNNNNNNNNNNNNNNNNNNNNNNNNNNNNNNNNNNNNNNNNNNNNNNNNNNNNNNNNNNNNNNNNNNNNNNNNNNNNNNNNNNNNNNNNNNNNNNNNNNNNNNNNNNNNNNNNNNNNNNNNNNNNNNNNNNNNNNNNNNNNNNNNNNNNNNNNNNNNNNNNNNNNNNNNNNNNNNNNNNNNNNNNNNNNNNNNNNNNNNNNNNNNNNNNNNNNNNNNNNNNNNNNNNNNNNNNNNNNNNNNNNNNNNNNNNNNNNNNNNNNNNNNNNNNNNNNNNNNNNNNNNNNNNNNNNNNNNNNNNNNNNNNNNNNNNNNNNNNNNNNNNNNNNNNNNNNNNNNNNNNNNNNNNNNNNNNNNNNNNNNNNNNNNNNNNNNNNNNNNNNNNNNNNNNNNNNNNNNNNNNNNNNNNNNNNNNNNNNNNNNNNNNNNNNNNNNNNNNNNNNNNNNNNNNNNNNNNNNNNNNNNNNNNNNNNNNNNNNNNNNNNNNNNNNNNNNNNNNNNNNNNNNNNNNNNNNNNNNNNNNNNNNNNNNNNNNNNNNNNNNNNNNNNNNNNNNNNNNNNNNNNNNNNNNNNNNNNNNNNNNNNNNNNNNNNNNNNNNNNNNNNNNNNNNNNNNNNNNNNNNNNNNNNNNNNNNNNNNNNNNNNNNNNNNNNNNNNNNNNNNNNNNNNNNNNNNNNNNNNNNNNNNNNNNNNNNNNNNNNNNNNNNNNNNNNNNNNNNNNNNNNNNNNNNNNNNNNNNNNNNNNNNNNNNNNNNNNNNNNNNNNNNNNNNNNNNNNNNNNNNNNNNNNNNNNNNNNNNNNNNNNNNNNNNNNNNNNNNNNNNNNNNNNNNNNNNNNNNNNNNNNNNNNNNNNNNNNNNNNNNNNNNNNNNNNNNNNNNNNNNNNNNNNNNNNNNNNNNNNNNNNNNNNNNNNNNNNNNNNNNNNNNNNNNNNNNNNNNNNNNNNNNNNNNNNNNNNNNNNNNNNNNNNNNNNNNNNNNNNNNNNNNNNNNNNNNNNNNNNNNNNNNNNNNNNNNNNNNNNNNNNNNNNNNNNNNNNNNNNNNNNNNNNNNNNNNNNNNNNNNNNNNNNNNNNNNNNNNNNNNNNNNNNNNNNNNNNNNNNNNNNNNNNNNNNNNNNNNNNNNNNNNNNNNNNNNNNNNNNNNNNNNNNNNNNNNNNNNNNNNNNNNNNNNNNNNNNNNNNNNNNNNNNNNNNNNNNNNNNNAUAUUCUUGAUGAACUGAAAGUGAUUGACAAAUUAUAUGAUGACUCACAUGUGUUAUUGUACUUAUUUCAUCCUCUCAUAAUUAUGAUGAUUUUCUUCGGGCUAUGUGAAUCUUUCAUACAUCCUGCAUAUUUUUUAUAAAUAUUUAUGAUGAUGAUGUUUAUAAAACUGCAUACACCCCCAUAUACUCGGUUCCUUUCCAUGGUACUAACCCACAUCUUCGGAUGUGGGCUGCAUUUUCUCAGAAUGUAGGUUCAGGUGCUCAGUUCCAGGUUCAACAGUGAUUCUUCGGGCACGCUGUUCUACAUCCUUUGUCAUGGUGAGUCCUCAUGUUCCGAGGACGUGAUUUCUGAUGUUGGUUUCACGGAAUUGUUUACAGUUGAUAACUGAGUAUGAGUCAUUUGGGGCAUGUCUCAAUGACUCGCUGGUUUUAUUGAUUUUCUUAGAGGCUUGUCAGACUAGUAUAGAUAUUGGUAGUUGACUAAUAAGUCGUAUUUUGUUAUCUUUCUGAAAUUUUGUUAUUAUUGAAUGAUGAUUACUAUGUUGUUAUUUGAGGGUUAUUUAUGGAAACCCUGUUGAUUCGCGUUGAACUGAAUGAAAAUGGCUCAAAGGGUUAGCUUGGGGCUACUCGUAGCCUCAAGCACUGUGUGACGCUCCGAAACCCAUUUUCAGGGCGUUACAAAAUCCCCAUUUGAAAACAUGAAUUUUUAAAGCCCAUGAUAUUUUUGAGAUAGCCCCACGUACCUCUAUAUGCGGAAAUUAUAGGUGCUUCUUGAAGCCUACGUUCUGGGGAUUCAAAUUAUGCGAUUAGUUUCUAAAACCCCCGGUUGAAUCUUGAGUUGCUUGAGUUUUUAUUUUGAAACCCUAAGGAGAAUCCUUGAGCACUUUUGAUGAAUGAAGGUGUAUUUUGGGGUCUUUGGAACUUAAUUUCGUGUUUAGGGCUAAGUAAGGGUGGAAAAGGACUAUUUUGCCCCAAAAAAGAGUGUUUAAGCCACUCGAAACCUUUACAUAGGUGCCGCCUAUGCCAAGCAUAGGCGCCGCCUAUGUUUGCAUAGGCGCCGCCUAUGCCAUCGCCUAUGUUUGCAUAGGUGCCUCCUAGGCUAUCGCCUAUGCUUUCCAGUGGCCAUGUGCGAUUGGUUAGGCGACGCAUAUUACUUUGAAAGGCCAUAACUUCUUGCUCGGGUGUCAGACUUUAGCAAAAUUGGUAUCGUUGGAAAGCUAACUCGAAGACGUAUCAUUUCACAUAUAGUAGGCUCUCUAAUUAGAUAUAUACAAAGAGUUAUAGUCGAUGGAAGCUGACAUAAAUUACAACAUCCACUAAAACUUAAUCGAUCGAAAUAGUUUCAACUCAUCCUUGAUUUGAAGGACCUCUAUGGUCUAAAUUCAAGCUUGAAUGGAUUCACAUGCUACACAAAUAAUUAACAUGCCGUAUUGGCAUAGGAUUUAUGGUUUUGGGAUUUAUCAACACAUCGGAGUCAUGGUCUAUAUUGUAGCCCGAAAUGCGGGGCGUUACAUUAUCCCCCCUUAGGAUCAUUCAUCCCCGAAUGAUGAUGCGGGACACAGACAUACACGAUUUGAAGCAUAAUAAAGGACUAGGAAAGAUAAGAUAGGAAUAGUACCUUCUGUCUCAUCCUCCAUCAAAGCAAACAAAUUGUGAUAUCUAAUUCUCAUGUCAUCUUCUGACUCUCAAGUUGCUUCUUCGACUUUUUGAUUCCUCCACAGUACCUUUACUGAGGCUAUCUCUUUACUCCUCAGCUUUCGAACUUGGCAAUCCAAAAUUUCAACGGGCUCUUCUUCGUAAGACAAGGAAUCUGUCACUUUGACAUCCUCUACUGGAAAUACCAAAAAUGAUCUCCAAUGCAUUUCUUCAACAUGGAUACAUGGAAUACCGGAUGUACGGAACCCAAACUUGCAGGAAAUUAUAGCUCAUAAGCAACUGUACCAAUCUUUCUCAGAAUCUGAUAUGUCCCUAUGUAGCGAGGGCUCAAUUUACCUCUUUUUCCAAACCACAUAACUCCUUUCAUAGGAGAAACCUUGAGAAACACCCAAUCACCAACCUCAAACUCUAGUUCUCUUCUCCUAACAUCGGCAUAGGACUUCUGAUGACUAUGAGCAUUCUUGAGUCAUUCUCUAAUGAUCUUCACUUUAUCCAUCGCCUGAUGAACAAGAUCAGUCCCAUAUAACUUGGUCUCUCCCACUUCAUACCAUCCUAUCAGAGACCUACAUUUCCUCCCAUACAAAGCCUUAAAAGGAGCCAUCUUGAUGCUGGCAUGGUAACUAUUAUUGUAAGCAAAUUUAACUAGUGGCAGGUGAUCUACCCAACUACCUUUAAAAUCAAUAACGCAUGCCCUUAACAUAUCCUCGAGGGUCUGAAUGGUACGCUCAGCUUGCCCAUCCAUUUGAGGGUGGAAAGCUGUGCUCAAAUUCACUUGUGUACCUAAACCCUUCUAAAAAGAUCUCCAGAACUGAGACAAAAACUGCGUACCUCUAUCGGAUAUAAUGGACACUGGUGCCCCAUGGAACCGAACUAUCUCCUCAAUGUAAAUCUUAGCAUAACCCUCUCCCGAAUAAUUAGUCCUCACAGGCAAAAAGUGGGCUGAAUUUGUCAACCGAUCUACAAUCACCCAUGUAGAAUCAUACUGGUUUCGGAAUCUCAGAAGUCCUAUAAUGAAGUCUAUGUUUAUCAUCUCCCACUUCUAUAAAGGCAGGGCUAUCUCUUGGGAAGUAACACCUGGCCUCAUGUGUUCUACCUUCACUUGUUGACAGUUCAAACACUUGGACACAAAAUCAGCUAUAUCACGUGUCAUGUUAUUCCACCAAUACAAGCUUUUCAGAUCGUGGUACAUCUUAGUAGAUCCUGGGUGAACGAUAUACCUUGAAGUAUGUGCCUCAUUAAGGAUUCUUUCCUGCAACCCAUCAACAUUCAGAACACACAACCCCUGGAAUCUCAGAAUACCAUCAUCACCAAUUUCAAAUGACAUAACCUUUUGUUGACCCACAUCUUUCUUGAUUUGUAUCAAGAUGGGAUCUUCAACCUGCUUCUCCUUAAUUUCAGCACAAAGGGAUGACUUAGCUAACUCAUGAACAAUCACCCCUCNNNNNNNNNNNNNNNNNNNNNNNNNNNNNNNNNNNNNNNNNNNNNNNNNNNNNNNNNNNNNNNNNNNNNNNNNNNNNNNNNNNNNNNNNNNNNNNNNNNNNNNNNNNNNNNNNNNNNNNNNNNNNNNNNNNNNNNNNNNNNNNNNNNNNNNNNNNNNNNNNNNNNNNNNNNNNNNNNNNNNNNNNNNNNNNNNNNNNNNNNNNNNNNNNNNNNNNNNNNNNNNNNNNNNNNNNNNNNNNNNNNNNNNNNNNNNNNNNNNNNNNNNNNNNNNNNNNNNNNNNNNNNNNNNNCAUCACAAUAAACCACAAAAUCAUCUACACCCUCGGGAAGGGUAAAAAUAGGAGAAGUAGUCAGCUUGUCCUUCAACUUCUCAAAACUGUAUUCACACAAGUCAGACCACACAAACUUCAUCUUUUUCUGAGUCAGUUUAGUAAGCGGAGCAACUAUGGAAGAAAAACUCUCUGCGAACUUUCUGUAAUAGCCCGCCAAACCCAAGAAGCUCCAAAUAUCGGUUGGAGUCGUGGGUCUAGGCCAUUUUCUCACUGCUUCAACUUUAUGGGGAUCCACUCUUAUCCCGUCACUGGACACAAUAUUCCCUAAGAAGGCAAUAGCAUCUAACCAUAAUUCACACUUAGAAAAUUUGGCUUACAGCUGAUGAUCCUUAAGGGUCUGAAGAAUAAUUCGGAGGUGAUUGGCGUGAUCCUCUUUACUCUUAGAAUAGAUCAGAAUAUCAUCAAUAAAUACAAUGAUGAACAAGUCAAGAAACUGAAGAAACACUCUAUUCAUAAGAUCCAUGAAGGCUGCACGGGAGUUAGUCAACCCGAAGGACAUGACUAGAAAUUUGUAGUGACCAUAUCGGGUUCGGAAGGCUGUCUUGAGUAUAUCUGACUCCCUAACUUUCAACUGAUGAUAACCCGAACGAAGGUCUAUUUUUGAAAAACACUUAGCUUCCUGAAGCUGGUAAAAAAGAUCAUCAAUCCUAGGAAGAGGAUACUUGUUUUUAAUCGUGACCUUAUUCAGCUGACGAUAGUCUUUGCACAUACGAAGGGAACCAUCUUUCUUUCGCACGAAAAGUACAGGUUCUCCCCAAGGGGACACACUGGGCGAAUAAAACCCUUAUCUAGAAGGUCUACCAUCUGCUCUUUUAACUCUUUCAGUUCCGCGGGAGCCAUUCUAUAUGGCGGAAUAGAAAUAGGAUGGGUUUCUGGCAACACAUCAAUGCCAAAAUCUAUUUCCCUAUCAGGUGGUAUCCUUGGGAGAUCUUCGGGAAAGACUUCUGGAAACUCAUUCACUAUAGGGACUGACUGAAAAGGAAGAUUUUCAACUCUUGAAUCUUUUACUCGGAUUAGAUGGUACAUACAACCUUUGGAGAUAAGCUUUCGGGCUCUAAGAUAAGAGAUAAAGUCACCUCUAGGUUCCACAGAACUCCCUGCCCAUACAAUUGGUGUCUCAUUUGGAAAAUAAAAAGUCACCUUUUGGGUUCUGCAAUCAAGGGUGGCAUAACACGAAUGGAGCCAGUCCAUCCCAAGGAUGGCAUCAAAAUCUACCAUAUCAAGAUCUAUAAGGUCGGCCAUAAUAUCCCUACUAAGAAUAGACACAACACAAUUUUUAUAAACCCUUCUAGCAAUAAUAGAAUCACCUACAGGAGUGGAAAUAAUAAAGGGUUGUUUAGUGACUUCGGGCUCGAACCCAAAACCAACAGCCACAUAGGGGGUCACAUAAGAUAAAGUAGACCCGGGAUCAAGCAAUACAUAAACAUCAUGAGAAAAAAUUUGUAAUGUACCGGUGACAAUAUCUGGUGAAGCUUCCACCUCCUGGCGAUUAGUCAAAGAAUAUAACCGAUUGCGAUCACUCUCGGUAGCUGAAGGGGCACCCUUAGGAGGAAAAGCCAUGGGGGCAGCUUGGGGCGGGCUAGUUUACUAGUCAACUCUGGUGCAUAGCGGGGUAGUUUAUUAAACUUCAAAGUGUACUCCUGGACACUCAUACUGCCCUGCUUCAGAUUCAUAAAUUCUUCCUCUUUGGCCUCCCUUAACUCCAAAGAAAAGAAUCGUUCAAGAAAAGCUUCCUCAAACUCGCCCCAAACUGUGGGCUCAGUACUCUCACCUUUCGCAUCCUCCCAGCCGGCAUACCACUGAUUCGCAAAUCUUUGAGCUGAUAAGUUGCUAGUUCCACCCCUUCAACCUCAUCCAUAUGCAUUACCUUAAAGAUUUUUUCCAUCUCAUCCACAAACUCUUGUGGAUCUUCCUCUACCUUGGUGCUAGUGAACUUAGGUGGGUUCAUCUUCAUGAAAUGUUCGACCCUGGUAGCCUCAAACAUAACAGAUAUAGACCCAACAUCUUCUGAUCAUUGAUCCUAGUUAGCUACCAACUGUGUCAGCAUAUGAAUAGACCUUCUGAAUUCCGCAUUUGAAAUAUCCCCCUGACCAGUUGGGGGAUGGUUGACAUUAGUCCGUGGAACCUGAGGUGGACUGGUUGGGACUGGAGAGAAUCCCAAAGUAGAGACAAGUUCUGGAGUGAGAGCUCUAUUACGGGUCCGCAUCCCAUGAAUGGGACGGACCUCGUCUGCCUGAGCAUUCUGAUCGACGAUACGACGUGGAGGCAUAACUGUGUUUCUGAAAUACAAGUGAUCAUAAAUUAGGGGACAGUUUAGACUCUGAAACACGAACUAAAUCACAAAGAAGGGAAACAUUUCCUAAACGCCUAACAAUCUCCUUCUUAUAAGUAUGGCGCGCUACACACCCAUAAAAAAGACUCUACCAGACGCGAUUUUGCAGACACCCUGGGGCCAUGAAUCGUGCUCUGAUAACAAGUUUGUCACCACCCAAACCGAGGCCCUGGCCGUGACAAAUAUUUCGAACCAUCAAGGCCCGAAACACCCCUUAUCUAUCUGGUAAUCAUGCACAUGAAUUAUAUGAAAAUAAAUGUGGAAGAUACACUAUAUAACGGAAACAUGGUCAAGAAUUAUAUGAAAACAAUAAUGGGGAAUAAUGUCCCACAAUCUCAAUCAACAUCUCUAUAACGUCUGCGAAAUCUCUACUACAUGACUAAAAUAAAUGUCUAGCUAAAAACUGGGACAAGGCCCUCAGUAGACCCAAAACUAAUAAAUGAUAAAUUAAACUGCAGACAUCAGGCCUUCUAAAAUAUAGAAGGCUCACCACUUGAUUCUACAAUCUGUUGGAAGGAAUCUAUUGGUUGUCUGGACCCCUAGACUGUGCCUCCAAACCUGGGAGGAGAGGGGGUCAACACAAAAGUACUGGUACGCAGAGAACUCAAAAUAGAAAUAUAAUAUUUUUACACAAUAUAGGUGAGAGCCAUUAUAAAGAAGUUUCAUAUCAAAUUAUUUGAAAACACAUGGGCAUAAUGUAAUAGUUUUCAAUACCAAUGUAAUGCGAUUGAGCUAGGUGGAAUACCCUACAAUUGUAAUUCCACAGCUAUGUGGAAUCUCUGGUGCUCGACGGUCAAGUCUCCAGUCCAAGUAGCCGCCAGGAUUUGGAGCCGGUAUACCCCCCAUGUGAGUACACCGUAGAGAAUCCCCCCAUGUGAGAUGUCCUAAUUAUUUUAGUAUCCUCCCAUGUAGGAUACUAUAUCAUACGACUCGCAUCGGCAACUACAGUUUUCAGCGAUGAGCCCUUCUACUCAACCGCCUUCUUCCGGCAUCCACCUUUCUCAUGAAAAUCAAUGCAUUCAAACUUUGUUCAAAUCAAUCACAUGUCAUACUCUGUAGGGUAUCGUCAUACCCGACUUGCAAGCCAUCAAUAUCACAUCAUUCUUCUCAUUCAACCAUUGUAUUCAACAUGACUAUUCUUCUCGUUUACAAGUCAAAAUUAUAUCAAUUCUCAAAACAUUUCAUGUCAUGCUCUUCAAGAUCUCUCAAGUUAACAUCUUUUCAGAACACAUGCAUAUAUAUAUAUAUAUAUAUCAUAUAGCAAAUUACUUUGGGAGUAGGCCUAAGGGCCAAAUCAAUAUCAUAAAACGUUUAAACAUAAUCAUAUUCAUAAUUUCAAAACCCCCAUAUGAAAACAUGAAUUUUUAAAGCCCAUGAGAUUUUUGAGAUAACCCCCCACGUACCUCUAUAUGCGCAAAUUAUAGGUGCUUCUUGAAGCCUAUGUUCUGGGGAUUUCAAUUAUGUGAUUAGUUUCUAAAACCUCCGGUUGAAUCUUGAGUUGCUUGGGUUUUUAUUUUGAAACCCUAAGGAGAAUCCUUGAGCACUUUGAUGAAUGAAGGUGUAUUUUGGGGUCUCUGGAACUGAAUUUCGUGUUUAGGGCUAAGUAAGGGUGGAAAAGGACCAUUUUGCCCCAAAAACAGAGUGUUUAAGCCACUUGAAACCUUUACAUAGGCGCCGCCUCUGCCAUCGCCUAUGUUUACAUAGGCUCCACCUAGGCUAUUGCCUAUGUUUGCAUAGGCUCCGCCUAUGAUUUCCAGUGGCCAUGUGCAUUUAGUUAGGCGAUGCAUGUUACUUUGAAAGGCCAUAACUUCUUGAUCGGGUGUCGGACUUUAGCAAAAUUGGUAUCGUUGGAAAGCUAACUCGAAGGACUAUCAUUUGACACAUAGUAGGCUCUCUAAUUCGACACAUAUAGAGAGUUAUAGUCGAUGGAAGCCAAUACAAAUUACAAUAUCCACUAAAACUUAAUCGAUCGAAAUAGUUUCAACUCAUCCUUGAGUUGAAGGACCUCUAUGGUCUAAAUUCAAGCUUGAAUGGAUUCACAUACUACACAAAUAAUUAACAUGCCAUAGUGGCAUAGGAUUUAUAGAUUUGGGAUUUAUCAACACAUCGGAAUCAUGGUCAAUAUUGUAGCCCGAAAUGCGGGGCGUUACACGUUUGUUCAUUUUGUAGGUACAUUUGCAAAUGGAACCACCACGCAUGGAACCUGAAACUUUCAACGCACAUACCGUGAAUCAUAAUGUUAUGACUUCCUUUGUAUCUAGUCUUGAGUCCUUAUCUCAAGAGGUGGUUAGAGUGAAUGUUACGAUUGAGAAGUUGGGUAUGGAAGUGGCCUCUAUUAGUGGCCAGGUGGAAAGGGUAGAAAGCCAAUGGAGUUCUCGACCCUCAAAUCCUCAAAACACAUCCCUAACCAUUAACCUCGAAGCCAUGCACCAAAGAAUGUAUCCAACAAAUGCCAUACCUCAAGCCAACUAUUACUCACAAGACUGAGGCCUUGAUGGACCUAGCCAUUCCCCACAUCACCAAGUCCCACAUGAAGGACUUGGAACCCAAAUUCCACCCUUAAAUCCAAAUCCUCCAAACUAAAAUACUCCAAUCCAAAGAACUCCACCACUAAAUGUCAAUCCACCAUACCAAAUUCCAAAUGUCUAAAACCCGCCAAUGCAGGAAGAGGGAUUUGUGAGGAAUAACCGAUGGAGAGGGUAUGGAAUGUAUGAUGAUCCUUAUCUGAUAGAGGAUGGAGUAAGGGGUAGAAGGGUAGAACCAUGGGAAAACUGAGAGCUUGAUGGUAGGGGUGUCCAAGGUGUUCAGGAAAGGGAUGUUGGUCUUAACACUAUCAAAAUAGGAAUUCCAAUCUUUAGGGGAGAAAGUGAUCCCGAAGAGUUUCUCACAUGGGAAUCCGCAUGAGAGAGAGUCUUUCAAGUGAAUGAUCUCAUAGAGGAGAAGAAUAGUUGCUACACCAUUGCUCAUUAUGAGGGAUAUGCUACCAUGUGGUGGAAGUAUGUCAAACAUUUUUGAAACGUAUUGAUUGAGGGGCGAUCCCCUCCUUGGUUCCGGUUAAGGUAUAUUAUGAGGCAAAAGUACCAUUCUGAAAGCUAUCAACAAUGAACUCCUUGCAAAAUUGUACAACUUGAAGCAAGGAAUUAAAAGUGUGGUAGCAUUGUCACGAUGUCACGACCCGAACCGAGGUCCUGGCUGUGACGAGCAUUCCAAAUCAUGAAGGCCCGGACGCCCAUCUCUAUCUGGUAGUCAUGAACAAUAUUCAUAUAAAUAAAAAAGAUGCAGAAAUAUAACUUAAUACAGAAUCAUGGUCAUACUUUGAACUCAAUUUAAUGAUAAAGAAUUUAAAAUCCAAUAACUCUAGACAAUAUCUAAACCAGUCUACUAAAUCUCUAUUACAUGCUAGAAUGACCACUGUCUGAAUCUGGGACAAGGCCCCUAGAGGACCCAAAUAAAAAUAAAUAACAUAGUCUAAAAUAAAAAGGCCUUCUGGAAUAGAGAAGACUCACCACUGCACAGUCUCUACUGCUUAGCCGAACCUCUAGAUUGAGUCUCAGACCCUGAAAAGUAGGGGGUCAAUACAAUUGUACUGGUACGUAGAGCAAAUCCAAAAUAGUAAUUUUUAAUCAACAUAUAUGAGAGAAAUUUAAAAUAGUUCAUAAAUAUAUCAUAUGGUAAGAAUCACAUGGGCAUAAUUAAAAGACUCUAUAAAAUCAUCUAAACUCUGUGACACAUCUUUAUUUUGCUUUUACGCUUGGUGGUAUACCCUACAACUCUGAAAUUCCAUGGGCUAUAUAGAAUCCUCCAUUAACUUGGAAGCCAAGCCCCCAACCCAAGUUUACCGCAAGGGUCAGAGUCUCUGUCUCUAAUAUACCACAGGGUCGUCCCCAGCGUAUAAUAAUAAUAUACCUGUAUCGGAAAAAUACGGUUUUAGGCUAAGAGUUACUUGAACUCAAGCCUUCUCUGGGUAACCACCUAACCCUCUUUAAGCCCAUUUUUAACUCUUUAAAACAUUUCAUUCCCUGAAAUCAAACUCUGAAAAACUCUAGCUCUGUUAUGGCAUACAUUUAUAUGGUAUCGUCAUACCAUUAACUUGCAAGUCACAUCUCUGAGCCAUUAAUAGCAUUUUAUAAUCUUUGUUUUUAAAACAUAAGUUUUGGGACCACCAUAUCAAUAAAUCAAUUCAAAGAACUCUUUAUUAAAACUCAUGUAAACACAUGCAAGAAACUCUCUUUUUAACAUUUCAAAUACACAAGGUGGUCAUAUCAAAGUUCUCAAUCACAUGCAAUUCUUUCUCUUUAACACAAGAACGUAAUUAUAUCAAGAAACUAACUCUCAUCAUCUCUAAAUCAUGCCCAAAUACUAUGAUAUUGACAAAACUAUUUUCUAAUCAUGAAUCAUGCAUUUCAAACCAUUCACGAUAAGAUCAUAAACUUAAAUUCAUCACAAGUGAGGGAUUUCAUAAUUUGUGCUCUCAAACAAUCUUCAAAUCCAAAUUUUCAUAUAUAUAUAUAUAUAUAUAUAUAUUCAUAUGUAUAAAUAAACUUUAAGGGAAAAAGACCUAAAGGCCAAAACAACAAUGUCAUUAAAGCAUUCAUGAUGCAUAAUUUAAAACAUUGAUUCCAAAACCCCUUUGAAAUUUCGUGCUUGAUGAUCUUUAAAUCAUAUUCAAGUGUUUCAACAAGCUCAUGUAGUUUUAGGAUAAACCCCACGUACCUUAGGUUGUUUAGGAGAAAGAGUGGAUUCCAAAUUUCACCUUAGUUCUUGAAACUUUUGACUUGCAAGGAUGAGCUAUUGAUCUUAAAAGAAGAGGCUAGGGUUUUCAAUUGAUGUUAAGAGAGUAAUUUUUCAUGAAAACCAACCUAAAGUGCUGAUAAGAUGCUUUAGUCUCGUGUUUUGGGCGUAUUGGGAUAAGGGAAAAUGACUCAAUUGCCCUUAAAAAUGUGGAUUUUAAAAACUAAAUCAACUGGGCUUCGAUGCGAUAGGCGACGCGGUGCAUCGAUGCCAUCAAUGCGAUACUUGACGCGUCGCUCCCUAAUCACGCCAAGCCUCAAUACUUUUUCCUGGUAGUUCCUGAACAAAAUUGACCAACGCGAUGGGUGAUGUGACGCGUCAAGAUCGCGUUGGUCCACUAUUUUGGGACACCAAACAAGGUCUAAGCGCGGCCCAAAAAAAUCUGAAACUUGUUCGAGAUGUACUAUCGACUUACCCCAUCGUGAAUCAACUUAAAAAUUAACUAUUGGAGGUCGAGAGGGUCAUAAAAUGAAUCCUCAAAGAUUUGGAGCUCAAAAUGAGACUAAGUCCUUUUAACACUUACAAAAAUUUUCAAUUUUUCAACUUUAUAAGCAUACUACUAAGAGAUAACACAUGGAGAACUUUUGUGGGGUGUUACAUUAUUCCCCCCUUAGGAUCAUUCAUCCCCGAAUGAUGGGUGGGGACCUUUCGAAGAUCAGAAAGUGUAGAAUAAAGAACGUAAUCUCACAUUGAACAAUUUUCCUCAACAAUACAUACAAUGGAAUCAAAUGAGUUUCUUGAUAACCCCGAGUGAAUCGUGAAAGCACGAAACAUGAGAUAAUGAGACUACAUAGGGAUGAUCUUGCACAUGAGCUCUAUGCACCAUAAUCUUCACAACAUAAGGAAGGAAUUUAUUUGAUGAUCAUAGACCUGAUUUAUAUUGGUACUAACAAUGAAAUAAGAUUUCACGGAAGAUAGGAUUAGAAUCAUUCUCCACCUCUCAUAAUACAACGAAAUAGACCUUACUCGUAGAAACACUACUCAUCUAUGCCCUAAACAACAAAUAACACACUUAAUUAUUUCUAACUUACAAUUCUCUAAUCAUACAUCUAGCCACAAUAAUAUGAGUCCCACUACUUAGUACUUUCUAAAUGAAAUCUUGAGAAAAUACGAUAAAAUAACCACGAGCGCUCCAUAUAUCAAGUGUCUGGAUCAUAAGUAGAGACUCAUUCAGAAGACACAAUACAACAUGAAUUCUUAGGAUAGAGCACAGUGAGAAAUAGUGGUGCACAUAUCAAGGCAAAAUAAGGGAAAGAGACUGAAUUAACCUCCUGGACUCAAAAAAUCAGUAAGAUGAACUGGGCACUCAGCGCGAUUGACGACGCGAUGCAUCAUGAUCGCGUCGAGACACUGGUUUGGCCAAUGCAACUACCGAUGCGGCACGUUAAUAUCGCAUUGAUCCACUGGUUUACUCACUCAAACGCAUCUCAAAUGCAGUCUGAAAAAUCUAAAACUUUCCCGGAUCAACCUCUUUACACUCCUGAACAUGAAUCAACUCUAAAAUCUACUUCUCGGGGUUAGAAAGAUCAAUUUGAAAAUGAUGAAAGUUACAAGCUCAUAAAUAUGACUAAGUCUUUUAACAAUUAGAAAUUUUUUCAGGUUGACAGCUCUCCACAUAUGCAACCAAGAGUGGUAUUGAGUCGAGAAUACUAUAGGGUGUUACAUUACAACUAAGACAAAGAUUUCUGCUUGAAGUGAUUUCUCCUUGCUUAAGGAACUAAGAUUUUUCCAUGAGUUUGCAUAAACCUUAUCACUUUGGCUAAACCUGACUUAGGAUGAAUUGGUGACAUAUAGAAACAUAUUCUCUUAGGACCAAACAUGCUAGGAGACAUAGAUUUUUAUAGAUCACGAACAACAUAACAUAUGGCUUGAAUACAUGAAAGAAUGGAUUACUAAGAGACCUAAUUUGCUUCUAGUUUGGAGAUCAGAUUAUAAACAUAAGUCCAUAGAGUACUCGAACCAUAGGCACAGGCAUGACUUGAAUAAAUGAUGUAAUAAAUUAGCAGAAUAAUCUCAAAAAUGGAAGUAGGAGGAGUAUUCUUGAGUAAGAUUAUAUUUAUCAUGACUCAUCUCCGCAACUUGCCGAAUUGAGAAAAAAAUUUGGGAACUACCUUAAUUCCCCAUCUUCCCCUUAGAUCAAAGUCACAACCCUAGACUUACGGACAUAUCCCCUUAUUAAAUCUACAGCAACAACUCUCAACACAAAAGAGACACCACUGCAUACUUAAACUCUAAACUCUCCCUGAAAAACUGUACUUUGCAGGCCUUACUUUUCUGUAUAUGCUACUCUUAGCUUUCGCUAGCCUCUAUAACCAUUAUUCUAUAACUCCCACUCUUAUGAGCGCACACAUUCACACUCCUUAUCACAAGAGGAAGGUGUUGGUAUCUUCAUGAGCACAAACUUCUCUCAUUAAUCUCUAAUACAAGGACACUAAAUUAUUUUCUAGGACACUAAUCGUAAUUUAUUCUAACGCUCAAAGUCAUCAACUUACGACUAACAUUAUCAUGGGCAUAGAUAAUGAUCCAUCUUUAAUUACUUAUACUAGCAUUACACCUCUAAUUACCCAACUUGUAACUUAACAAAAAUUUGUAAAACUAUGCCAAACGCACAUAUUGCCUACCUACAUUUCCUGAACACAACUUUACUGAACACUAUACAACAACUCCCCAGACUUCUCCGUGCUACAAAGUUCAAAACACAAGUUGGGUACACAUGAUGCUUAUACCAUACAACAUUAUCUAACAACAUGCCAUCUUGGGUUCAACUUAUUCUUAUAUGAAUAUCACUCUUAUCAUCUUAAUGACUCAACCACAAAUCAUCAUUUCUAACACUAGUCCUCAAGUAUAUAUACCACAAUUUAUCCACUCCUUUUUUCACAAUUUGCCAACCUAGGCCAUUCCACAUACCACAUUAAGACUACUAAUUAAUUCCCACAAAACAUGCAUCAUCAACCUCGACCUACUAUUCUCACCACUAUACUCCAUAUCUAGAGUUUAAGUCUGUUGUCUAGCCUCAAUUAUAUAUCACCGAUAAACCAUGCCACAUAUUACACUAAUCCAUCAAAUUAGGAAAUCAACCCCAAUACUUCACUUUACUUAGCUACUACCUACAAUCACAACCCCGCCAUAACCUCAUUAUUACCACUCAAAAUCCACUACAUACCUUCACACCUAAAGUCCUAGUUUACUACUACUAAAGAAAGGACCAUCAAAGAGGUAAAGUCACAUGAUUGAGUUGGUCGAUCUUAAUCUUGCAAUAUAACUCAUUCCAAUCUUAUCAACAUAUUCUAAUUUCUUACAUCAUACUUACCUAAUCGCACAUCACAAUGAUCUUCAAAAAUCAAUAAACACUAAUGAGUCUCUACUUACAACUUAUUAACUAAUCUAUCAUUUCUAUUUACAACCUAUAACUGAUCUCUAUAACCACCAUAACUAUCAACUCUAGGUUCCUUCCCUAAUUUGAAUAGAUAAUAAUCAUAGCUAGACACUUCCUCCACAUACUACCCUACAAUCCACAAAUAUUGCUACCGCAUUAGUCUAUCACUAUACAAUGGAAACCCACUCCUCAGUCUACGAUUAUACAACUAAAACUAUUUAUUUACGCAAAUGUCACCCUCGCUCUGACUGCUAACCUUGUGACUUCAUGUCACCAACUUCUAGACCAUCUCACUACCAAUAGGUCAUGACACUUUAACAUACGCUACCACUCAGGUGGAAAUACAGUCCCAACAUUCUGCUCCACAUAAUUAUCCUUAAACAUCACUCCCCUAACAAGAAUUUUUAUUAAAGGGGACAGAAUACACUUCGUACCUCAGGCUGGAAAGCACAAUUUCAUCAAGAUAAAGGUACACACCUGAAUCAAUACACCUUGAAGCACCACUGGACUCCUCUCAAGUCCUUGUGCUAUCUCAUAACUUUUUUGGAUAACUCAAUCAAAGAGAACCACAUCGUUGGGCUAGACUCUUAGACUUGUAUAGCCUCAAUAAUAAGACAUGACCCAUGAAAUUAGAACGAGGAAUGAACUUGGAUAACUUUCUUAUGGAUGACUCUAUAGCACAAACUAGAGUAUGAAAGAAUGGAAAACAACUCCUAAAUGCCCGAUAGCCUCCUGAUUAUAAGUGUGGUGCACAACACACCCAUAAUCAAGACUCUACUAGACAUGAUUUCACAGACACCCUGGGACAUGAACCAUGCUCUGAUACAAAGUUUGUCAUGAUCCGAACUGAGGUCCUUGCCGUGAUGAGCAAUCCGAAUCAUAAAGGCCCGAACACCCAUCUCUAUCUGGUAAUCAUGCACAAUAUUCAUAUAAAUAAAAAAGAUGUAGAAAUAUAACUUAAUAUGGAAUCAUGGUUAUACACUGAACUCAAUUUCACGAUAAAGAAUUUAAAAUCCAACAACUCUAGACAAUGUCUAAACCAGUUUGCUAAAUCUCUAUUACAUGCUAGAAUGACCACUGUCUGAAUUUGGGACAAGGCCCCCAGUGGACCCAAAUCAAAAUAAAUAACAUAGUCUGAAAUAAACAGGCCUUCUAAAAUAGAGAAGACUCACCACUGCACAAUCUCUUCUCUCUGAAAUCUCUACUGCUUAGCCGGACCUCUAGAUUGAGCCUCAGACCUUGAAAGGUAGGGGGUCAAUACAAUUGUACUAGUACACAGAGCGAAUCCAAAAUAGUAAUUUUUACUCAACAUAUAUGAGAGCAAUUUAAAAUAGUUCAUAAAUAUAUCAUAUGGUAAGAAUCACAUGGGCAUAGUUAAAAGACUCUAUUAAAUCAACUGAACUCUGUAACACAUCUUUAUUUUACUUCUACGCUAGGUGGUAUACCUUACAACUCUGAAAUUCCAUGGGCUAUAUGAAAUCUGCCAUUAACCCGACAGCCAAGCCCCUAACCCAAGUUAGCCACAAGGGUUGGACUCUCUAUCUCUACUACGCCACAGGGCCGUCGCCACCGUACAAUAAUAAUAUACGUGUAUCGGCAAAAUACAUUUUUAGGCUAAGAGUUACUUGAAAUCAAGUCUUCUUCGGGUAACCACCUAAUCCUCUUUAAGCCCAUUUUUAAUUCUUUAAAACAUUUCAUUCUCUGAAAUCAAACUCUGAAAAACUUUAGCUCUGUUAUGGCAUACAUUUAUAUGAUAUCGUCAUACCAUUGACUUGCAAGUCGCAUCUCUUAACCAUUAAUAACGUAUUAUAAUCUCUGUUUUUAAAAUAUAAGUUUUGGAACCACCAUAUCAAUAAAUCAAUUCAAAGAACUCUUUCUUAAACCUCAUGUAAACACAUGCAAGAAACUCUCCUUUUCAACAUUUCAAAUACACAAGGUGGUCAUGUCAAAGUUCUCAAUCACAUGCAAUUCUUUCUCUUUUACACAAGUGUCAUACCCGAUUUUUACCUAAGGUCAAAACAAGCACGACAUUAUGAACUCUAAAAGAAUUGAUUUUAUACAGAGUCGCCACCUAAUUUUUAAGAAAAAUAGGGAACCUACUUAUUUAUUAACAGGUAUGACUUUAUUUUAUUCUAUGAAACCAGUUUGAAUUUUAGUUAAGGGUUCAAAUUAUUAUAAAGGAAAGGGGUUAGGCACCUUUCAAAAUCCACAAAUAUGGUUUCCGACCAGACUUAGGUUUAUUAGAAAAGAAAAAAAAAUUAAUGUUUGUAAAUACAAAAAUAAAAUAUGUACUGAAAUAAUAUGACACUUAUGAUGUCGUAAAAUAUAUAUAAACAAAAUAUAUAAAUAUGCAUGUAAAGACAAGAUUGAAUAAAGAAAAAUUACUUUAAUGAAAAAGACUACGUAGUAUUUUUUAAUGUAAAAGGUGUGAAUUAUUUGAUUAAAUAUCUAAAUCAAUUUUAAUGUAAAUAUUAAAGGCCUAAAUUUGCCUAACGCGUAAUGAGAAUUGCGUAAAAAAUAAAAUUAUCAGAAGAUUAUAUUAAAGAAAAAAAACUAUGCAAUAUCUUUCAAUGUAUAAGUAUGAAUUAAUUAAGUAUCUAAAUUAAUUUAAUUUUUUCAUAUAAAUAUUAACGACCUAAAUUUGCCUAGACGCGUGGUGAAUAUUUGUAUAAAAGCAUUCCCGCUCAACGCUCCAAAAAUAAAAUUUUCACUAUACUUGACAUUUUGUACGAGCGUAAAAAUAUAAAAAUUAAAAUCUUCUUUGCAUGUCAUUCCUGAUAAAUAUUUCCAAUAACCUUUAUAAACACUUGUAGUAAAAUGUUAGUAACAAAUAAUAACUAUAAAAAUAAAUUGUGAACGUAUGUGUGCAUAUAUGUAAAAAAAAUAAUUUUCUUUAAAAGGUGGGCUCAGAUUAGAUUUUAAAUACGACAUGGCUACGAAGUGGUUGCUGAUUUAUUAGCCGUCCUAAAUCAUCUUGCCAAGAUACGAAUAAAAAUAGACCGCCUUCAAAUAAAAAUAGAAAUGCAUGUAUGUGAAAAUGGACACCUUAAAUGAAAGGUAAAACAAAUGCCCGUAUAUGAAGUGGACAUCUUGAAAAAAGAAAGAAAGAAUUUUUUUAUUUUCUUGAUAAAAAGUGCUGAAAGAUGAAGAAGACAAGAUCAUGUCUUGGCUUCAGUUGUUACCAAUAAUUAGUAGUGUGCAUUAGAAUUCCCCCAUCCUUUUCUCAGCUAACCGAGAUCAACUUCAGGCCAACUCCUAUAGUUUUAAGUGGUACUUUAGACAUGCCUAAGUAUCGACAAGAUUUUUUGUCUUGCUUCAAAUAAAUGUUUUGAGCUAUGUCUAUUCUCAUGCUUCAAGUGCCAUUUCCAAAAAGAAAGUCUCGUUUCACACAUUAUUUGAGUAAUUUUUUUUUAAUUUGGGGACACCUAGAAGAAUACGCUCACACUCAGAAAGAGAUUUAAUGCAUGCAAUUGUGAUACCAUAGGCUUGACCUUCAUGUAAGUAUCUACUAAUAUGAGAACACUUGAAAUAGAAUCUCGUAGGACUUGAUAUCGGCUUCUAGUGUAGGCUUGGGGACGGUUAAGAUAAUAUUUGGCAUAGAAGUGACUAAUUCCUCAAUGAUCAUUACACUGUAUUUGUGCGUUUGACGUUUGUUGCUCUUUGACACAUGAUCUUUUUUAUUGUGCUGCGUUGUCCCUUGCAUUGGAGUUUUCCCCUUUUCAAGAAACUAUAUAUUUUUUGUUCUUUUUUUUCUAUUCUCUUUUUUUUUGUGGGAUGUUUGCUUUUUUUGAAGUUAUUUUUUUCAUCUGGGACAAUAUAUCCUUUGCAUUUUGCAUUUUUGAUCUUGAAUUUUUGUCCACAAUAUGCAGGCAUUUAGUGUGCUCAAGGAGGUAGGACCAAGAGAGGGACAAAGCAUGUAAGCACUUGAAAAGGUAUAGGCUCAAAUGCGGUUGUCCAAAGAAAGGUUUUACGCUCAAAAAGGGAAUGCUAGGGAUUAAUGUCAUUUGGUGGGCUGUGAAAGACAUAAUUGGGUCAAAAAGGCCUAUGGUCCUUUCCUAAAUCAAGUGCAACUUAGAAUUUCGCCUCAACAAACAUUUAGGUCAAGUUCUAGAUCAACAAUGCAAUGUAAUGAAUUGAACUAAAGCUCACCACACAAUGUAAUUGAAACGACAAAGUUGACUCCGUUCUUGUCUUAGAUGUAUGCAAGAGAAUUUUCAAGCGUUACUCAAGUGUGAUAAAAGGUACCAAAGAAUCUAUGAUUUACCAUGAAAUCGGUCCUUUACAUCAUACCAAUUUGUUCUUUCUCAUGCACACUCCUUACUGUAUUGGUACCAACCAAGUUAAAAAUUUAUUAUUUUUCUAAAAGAAUGGGACCGAAUUCAAAUGAAGGUUACCUACGCAUCUUGUAAAAAUAAGAAUCAGGUCUGCGUAGUUUAGGAAAAUCUGUAAAUUUGAAUGUAGCAUGCAUGAUUGCAAAAAAUAAUGUGGAAGAUAAUCAAGAAAGAACUGCUUUUAACAUCAAAUUGUUUCGAUCAAACGAUCGAGAGGAUGGAUGUCAAGCAUGGGGAGAGUUUUCACACAACUUCAGUAUACUGAAAAAAUUUAAAAAAAUCAGAUAUUGAAAAAUUAUGACAUUAUUUCACCGCAGUUGGUAGGAUUAAAAUAACUGAAAUAAUAUUGAACCCUUACUUUUGAAAAUGAGGAUCGACACGCCAUAAGUUUAAUAGUUUACAACGUUCGAAUGAAUAAGCCAGAUAUUCUUACACAAAAACAGGUGAGGAAUUGAAGGUAGGACGGUUAGACAAUAAUGUAAUUAAGAUUUGGAGUUGAGGAGUUAUUGAUUGUGGUCUUAAAGAAUUUUGGAGAGCAUUUUUUAACUGUUCCAGAAAAUUGCCCCAGUUUUAAGUACCAGAGAAAUUAUUCUAAAACAGUGAAGAGACAGAACCCUAAUACUGGGUUGCCUACGUAUCUUGUCAGGACAAGAAUCAGGUCAAAACGUAGUUCAAACCUAUACGUAAUUAAUGACAAUAUUGCUAAGGUGCAUUUUUAACUGAUCCACUAUGCAAAACAAAGGUUAGACGACACGUUCUCACUAAAGUAUAAUCAAUUCAAAGCAAACAAUUAUGUACAGACACAAUAAUCUUUCAAAUAUAUACAAAGAAAAUAAUAAUGCGUCACUUGGGUCGUGAACCCUUCGGACAUAAAGUUGACUAACGAUGCAUGCACCUAAAAGGUAUUGUUUAAGUUCUAUCUUAUGUUGACUAAGAAUGGGUAGACUCGAACUUGAAUUUCCUAUAUGAGAAGACACGUGGUCCCACGACAGUAAAACUCCCGCUCACUCCACAUAUACGCCGACUCUCUAAAAUAAAGUGAUUUGAAAGAAUUUUGAGAAAGUACAAUGUAUAAUCCGAGCGUAUAAUGUGUGUGAGUGUCAGUAUUUUAAAAUGGAGGAAAUAUGAACAGAAUGUCAAUUUAUAUAAAGCGAUAAACAAAUAAACAAUUUAAACAAAAUAAUAACAAAUAAAUAAUUUAUGCCACAUACACAAGAUAAAUCAAGACAAUUAGUUUGAAACAAAUAACAAUGUAUAAAAACAUAAAUAUUUACCUAAAUCUGUAAUGGUUAGAACCUUGCAUCCCCAGCAGAGUCGUCAAACUGUCAUACCCGAUUUUUACCUAAGGUCAAAAUGAGCACGAUAUUGUGGACUCUAAAAGAAUUGAUUUUAUGCAGAGUCGCUACCUAAUUUUUAAGGAAAAAUAGGAAACUUACUUAUUUGUUAACAAGUAUGACUUUAUUUUAAUCUACGAAACCAGUUUGAAUUUUAGGUAAGAGUUCAAAUUAUUCUAAAGGAAAGGGGUUAGGCACCCUUCAGAAUCCACAAAUAUGAUUUUCGACCAGACUUAAGUUUAUUAAAAAAAGAAAAAAAAUUAAUGUUUGUAAAUACAAAAAUAAAAUAUGUACUGAAAUAAUAUGACAGUUAUGCUCCCGUAAAAUAUAUAUAAACAAAAUAUAUAAAUAUGCAUGUAAAGAUAAGAUUGAAUAAAGAAAAGUUACUUUAAUGAAAAAGAUUACGUAGUAUUUUUUUAAUGUAAAAGGUGUGAAUUAUUUGAUUAAAUAUAUAAUCAAUUUUAAUAUAAAUAUUAAAGGCCUGAAUUUGCCUAACGCGUGAUGAGAAUCGCGUAAAAGUUAAAAAUAUUAGAAGAUUAUAUUAAAGUAAAAAACUAUGCAAUAUCUUUCAAUAAAUAAGUAUGAAUUAAUUAAGUAUCUAAAUUAAUUUAAUUUUUUAAUAUAAAUAUUAACGACUUAAAUUUGUCUAAACGCGUGGUGAAUAUUUGUAUAAAAGCAUUCCCGCCCAAUGCGUCAAAAAUAAAUUUUUUAUCAUAAUUGACAUUUUGUAUAAGUGUAAAAAUAUAAAAUAUAAAUAUAAAAAUUAAAAUCUUCUUUGCAUGUCAUCCCUGAUAAAUAUUUCCAAUAACCUGUAUAAACAAUUAUAGUAAAAUGUUAGUAACAAAUAAAUAACUAUAAAAAUAAAUUGAGAACGUAUGUGUGUAUAUAUGUAAAAAAAAUAAUUUUUAUUAAAAGGUGCACUCAAAUUAAAUUUUAAAUACGACAUGACUACGAAGCGAUUGCUGAUUUAUUAGUCAUCCUAAAUCGUCUUGUCAAGAUACGAAUCAUAAAAGUUUUUGCGUUGUUAUCAAAUUUUUAUCAUCACCCAAAAAAUAUUCAUUUUAUUAAGUAUUUAUACGUAAUAUCCGUCUUUUUAUUUGUAAAGGUCUCGAAAAUUAAUGAAAAAUUUCUUGUAUUGAUCUUUAAUAUAAAAUAAUAACUUUAAUAAAAUAAAGUCAUCGUUUGUAAUAAAGUGACCUCAAAUAUCCAAACGGAUUGAUAAUUUCAUUGCCAAGUAUUGUAGUAUUUGUUCAUUAUCAGUCAAACAUAUUCAGAGAGGAUAAAAGGUUGCCCAAACAAUCCUCAAUGUGCAAAACAUAGUAAUGGAGAAUUUGCCAAAGUAAAAAAUGUGAACAAAUCAAGAAUCAAUCCAAAUAUCCAAAGCAGUAUUAGAGCAACAAUCAGCCAAAAAUAAUCAUAAAUGACAAAAACAAUCACAAAUGGAUCCCCAAAGCAAGCGAUGUUCAUUCGAGAAAACCAAAACCUCGCCGGAAAAUCCAUCACACAAAAAUAUUUUUUCAGUCAUGUUUGCCCAACUCCGAUCAAAUCCGAAAAAAACUACACAAGAACGAAAAAUUGUAAAAAUAUUAUCAAGCAUUUGAAAGUAAACAAAGAAAUCAACUAACACCGCUGCUUCAACGGCGAUGGAACGCCGGAGCAGCGGGUUUUUUGGGGCAAAUUCGUAGCAGAUCCACCAGGGAGGGGGAGGUGUCUCGCAGGAGAAAAGGAGAGGAAGAAGGGGACGUGCAACACGGUGGUGUCUUGCAACGCCGGCCGACCGGUGGUCAGUUCCGGCGGCCGUGGCGACCGCAUACGAGAGACGAUGGGUUUGGUUUUUUUAGAAAGAGAACGAGGAAAGAAAAGGGGAGCAGACGUUAUGUACUGUUUUUGUGCGCGUGUGUUUGUGCGUUAGUUUUAGAGAAAGAGAAAAAAUGGAAGAAAAUAUGUAGAGUAAAAAAUCUGAAGUUUUUUUGUAUGUGUACUGUAUGUUGAGUAUUUAAAAAGAAAAAAUAAUUCAUCAAAUCUACAAUUUUUUAACAUAUUUCUUAUAUUUAGAAAAGCAGAUUGAAAAAAGUCAAAAGAUUAAAAAAAUAAUAAGACUUCGACUUGAUGAUUAAAAAAAUAAUAAGACUUCAACUUGACUAAUUUAUUAUUGUGUGUAUUAAAAUAAUUAAAUCGACUCACAUUUGUAAGUCACAUUAAAUGAUAUACAAAAAUAUGAAUAUCAAUGUAUAAUUACAGAAAAAAAAAUAUAAACAACAAAUAAGAAAUACAAUUGUCUUGAAAAAAUAUCUUAUGCUAUAAAUAAUUAAAAUUAUAUUACACGAUAAAAAAUUGCAAUGCUAUGUUAUGUACGUAUGCAGAGGACUGUGCAAUAAUAUUAAAAUAAUAAUAAACUGAUAAAAAUUUUAAAAUUUACGAAAUUAAGAAUAAUUAUUAAUAAAUUAUUCAAAGUUAAAAAUAUGACAAAAAUUAGUGAAAAAAUCAUAAAAUAAUGACGAUUAUCAAUAAUUUGUUAAAAAUUAUAAAAAAUGUACGAAAAGCUGCGUUUUGUGCACUUUAACUAUCAGAGAGUUUAAAUGCGUUAAUUUUAUUCAAAAACUAAAAAAUAUCUCUUUUAACUAAUGUAUAAAUAAUUUUUUACCCAAAAAAUAAAAGUCUCAACCCAUUACUUCAAAUGUCUAUCUUUUAAAAAGUUGACAUGAUGUUAACUUGAUUGAUUUUCGCUCUGUGUAUUAAAAUAAUCAAACCGAUAUUAUCGUUUGCAGACCAUAUUAAAUAAAAUACAAAAAAUAUAAAUGUCGACAUAUAAUUACAAAAAGAAUGUAAAAAAAUAUAAUUAUCUUUAAAAAGUUAUAUUACGCUAUAAACAAUUAAAUUAUAGUAUGCGGUAAUAAUUAUAAUGCUAUGCUUAUGUACGGAUGCAAAUGACUUUACAAAAAAUAUUACAAUGACAAUAAACUGAUAAAAAUUCUAAAAUUUAAGACAUUAAGAAUAAUUAUCAAUAAAUUAUGCAAAGUUAAAAUAUGACAAAAUUGAUAAAAAAAAAUCCUAAAAUUAUGAUGAUAAUCAAUAAUUUAUUAAAAAAUAAAAAAAUAUGCAAAAUUGUAUUUUGUAUUAUUUAACAAUCAAAAAGUCAAAAUGCAUUAAAUUUAUGUUUGGAGAGCCAAAAUUGGGUGUCAACAACAAAAACGUAAUUAUAUAAAGAAACUCCCUCUCAUCAUCUCUAAAUCAUGCCCCAAUACUAUUAUUUAUAUUGAGAAAACUGUUUUCAAAUCAUAAAUCAUGCAUUUCAAGCCAUUCACAAUAAGAUCAUAAACUUAAAUUCAUCACAAGUGAACGAUUUCAUAAUUUAUGCUCUCAAACAAUCUUCAAAUCUAAAUUUUCAUAUAUAUACAUAAUGUAUAAAUCAACUUUAAGGGGAAAAGACCUAAAGGCCAAAACAACAAUGUCAUUAAAAUAUUCAUGAUGCAUAAUUUAAAACAUGGAUUUCAAAACCCCUUUGAAAUUUCAUGCUUGAUGAUCUUUAAAUCAUAUUCAAGUAUUUCAACAAGCCCAUUUAGUUUUAGGAUAACCCCCACGUACCUUAGGUUGUUUAGAAGGAAGAGUGGAUUUUGAAUUUCACAUUAGUUCUUGAAACUGUUGACUUGCAAGGAUGAGCUCUUGAUCCAAAAAGAAGAGGCUAGGAUUUUUAAUUGAUGUUAAGAGAGUAAUUUUUCAUGAAAACCAACCUAAAGUGCUGAUAAGAUGCUUUAAUCUCGUGUUUUGGGCGUAUUGGGAUAAGGGAGAAUAACUCAAUUGGCCUUAAAAUGCGGAUUUUAAAAACUGAAUCAACUGGGCUUCGACGCGAUAGGCGACGCGGCGCAUCGAUACCAUCGAUGCGAUACCUGACGCGGCAUGCCCUACUCGUGCCAAGCCUCAUUACUUUUGCCUAGCAGUUCCUGUACAAAAUUGACCAACGAGAUGGACGGCGCGGCGCACCAAGAUUGCGUUGGUCCACUGUUUUGGGACACCAAACAAGUUCUUAGCGUGGCCUGCAAAAAAUUUAAAACUUGUCCGAGAUGUACUAUCAACUUACCCCAUUGUGAAUCAACUUAAAAAUUAAAUAUCGAAGGUCGGGAGGGUCGUAAAAUGAAUCCUCAAAGAUUUAGAGCUCAAAAUGAGACUAAGUCCUUUUGACACUUAGAAAAAUUUUCAAGUUUUCAACUCUAUAAGCAUGCUACUAGGAGAUAACACAUGAGGACUUUUGCGGGGUGUUACAAGCCUACUAUGGUGAGUUUCAACAGCUCAUCUUGAAACUUGAUCAUAGAGGAGAACAAGUGAGCCACGAUAUUAUCCAGUUCAAGGUCGGCCUAAAUAAGGAAAUCUCUACGCAUAUGACUCUUCAAAAGUUUGAAACUAUUGAAGGGAUCUUUAAAGUGGAUUUAGAGAUUGAACGAGAGAACAAGGAAAGGUCGGCAUACAAAACCAAAACAUACCAAGGUUCCUCAGUUGGAACAAGGGGAGAGAAGUGGUUCCAUCGACUUCAAGGUGGAACAAGUCCAAACAACAACCAACCAAGGCCCCUCUACCCAUGAACAAGGUUGCUCCACCACCUCCUUCAUGGUUUGAGCAAGCCGAAUAUUUUCUCAAAUGUCAAGGGAUUUCAAUGCUUCAAAUGCCACAAAUGGGGACACAAGACUAGUAAGUGUCCUAGUCGGAGAAAUGUGAUAUUGAGAGAAGGGAAUUUGUAUUUCUUGGGAGAAGAUUAGGGCUUGAAACGGUUGAAAAUGAAGAAGCCUCUCAAGAUGGAAAGAGAAGGGAGGCCGAGAGGCCUGGUGAUGAUAAUGAAGAUGAGGUUUGGCCACAAGUAGGUGAACUUUAAGUACCUAAUUAUAUGGUAUGGAGAGAUAUGAUUAGCAAAGCAUUGGAUUAUCCUAGCCAAUAGGAAAACCUCUGUCAUACUAAGUGUCUCAUUAAGGGGAGUGUGUGCUCCUUGAUUAUUGAUAGCAGAAGUUGUGCUCAUGUAGCUAGUGCCUCAAUGGUAGAUCACUUGAAGUUACCAACCAUUCCUCCUGCGAUUUGUAUAGACUAAUGGUUGAAUGAUUAUGGAGAGUUAAAGGUAACUCAUCAAGUGGUGAUUCGGUUCAAAGUUAAAAAUUAUGAGGAUGAGGUACUUUGCGACAUGAUUCCUAUGCAAGCUUCUAGUCUCUUGUUGGGUCGGCCAUGGAAAUAUGAUAGGUUGACCAAACAUGAUAGCCAAACUAACUACUACUCCUUUGAGUUCAAGGGUCGAAAGUACAACCUCCGACCACUAUCACCAUCACAAGUGUGUGAGGCACAUCGACAAAUGAAGAGUUUGCAAGGAAAGGGAAGGAAAAAAAGAAACCCACGGGUAGAGAGGAUAAACCCAAAAGUGGGAAGGGUGAGGGUGAAGAGGGAGUCUCGGAUUUGAGGGUUAGGGAUUCGAUGGUAAUGUUGGAUCGAAAGGGCGACCUCUUCAAAGAGUAUGAUGAUACUACUCCCAUGUUACUUUUGGCUCAUAUUUUGAAUGUUAACCCAUUCACUCCCCCUAUCCCGUCUUCUAUUUCCAAUGUUUUGCAGGAAUUUGAUGAUGUAUUUCCUAGUGAAUUGCCGCAAGGACUUUCUCCACUUCGAGGAAUUGAGCAUCAAAUCGACUUUAUUUUGGGGUCGCAAUUGCUGAACAAUUCGGCUUAUAGGAGAAACCCCAUGGAUACAAAGAAAAUCCAACGGUAAGUUGAGGACCUCCUCAACAAAGGAUAGAUCAAGGAAAGCAUGAGUCUAUGCACAGUCCCGGUGUUGCUUGUGUCGAAGAAGGAUGGAACAUGGUGAAUGUGCAUGGACUGUCGAGCCAUAAAUAAAAUUAUAGUAAAGUGUCGUUAUCCCAUUCCUAGGUUAGAUGAUAUGAUUGAUGAACUAAAUGGCUCUUGUGUGUUUUCUAAGGUUGAUCUUAAGAGUGGAUAUCACCAAAUCCGUAUGCAACUGGGUGAUGAACGGAAUACCGCAUUCAAGACCAAGUUUGGUCUAUAUGAGUGGAUGGGCAUGCCAUUCAAUCUCACCAACGCUCCUAGUACUUUUAUGCGGCUAAUGAAUUAUGUGAUGAAGCCGUUUAUUGGCAAGUUUGUGGUUAUAUACUUUGAUGAUGUUUUAGUUUAUAGUAAGUCCCUUAAUGAACAUUUAUUGCAUCUAAAGAGUGUGUUUGAUGUUCUUAGGAAAGAAAAGUUUUAUGCUAAUAUUGAGAAAUGCUCCUUUGGUGUUGAUAAAGUUGUGUUUUUAGGAUUUGUUGUGAGCUCGAGGGGAGUGGAGGUAGACGAAUCCAAUAUAAUUGCCAUUAAAGAUUGCCCAACCCCUAAAACCGUGGGUGAAGUUUGGAGUUUCCACGGGUUGGCAAUUUUUUAUAGGAGGUUCUUCAAAGAAUUUAGUACCAUUGCCGCUGUAAUAACCCGUAUUUUCGUGCUAAAAUUCUAACCGUCGAUCUUACGCGUCUAAGCUCUAAUACAAAUGAGUUGAAUGUGAAUAAAAGUUUCAUGAUCAUUAUCCUAGUCUAUAUAGUAGUUUAGAGGUGACAAAUGUUCAUAGCAAUGACCUAGAACAAAGUUGAGCUAAGACCAAUUGAUUCAUCCAAAGUUUGACAUUCGAUUCUACAAGGGUCAACUUAAAACGUGUAUAUCUAUUAAUAUACAUGGAAUUUUUCAUCCCAAGACCUAUCAAAUUGUAGAUAAUUGAAUUAUCUUUCCAACGAUACUAAUUUCGUAAAAAUCUGAUACCCGAGCGAAGAGUUAUGCCCAUUUUCGUGAGAGACAGUAAGGGUAUGCGAUUGGUUAGGCGCCGCCCAACCAAGCUUAGGUGAUUGGUUAGGCGCCGCCCAACCUGGCUUGUGAGAUUACUUGGGCGUCGCCUAAGUCAGUUCCAAGUGCCAAAAACACUUCGUUUGACUUAUAUCAAGUGUGUUGAAGUCAUUUCACACCCCUAAACCGUCCCUAAUCACUCCAAAUCAUUGAUAAGGGAUUUUAAACACAUAAUUACAAUCCCUAAGACCUAAAUCAGUCAAGUUACGAUCCAAAAACUUUCCUCUCUUCCCAAGAAAAAAAUCUAAGUUUACCUCUCAAGAAUUAGGAAGUUAAGCUCCGAAUUCAAAGUUCUCUACAAGGAUUCUUUCAAUCAAGCUUGAAGGUCCAGUCUUUCAAUGAAUCCGUUACCAUAAAGGUAUGUGGAGUUUUCAACAAGAGUCUUCUUUCGUUCUUGUGCCCAAAUUGAUGUUUACAUUUACAAAUAUACAUGAUUUUAUAUGAUUUACUAUGAAUUUGAGAUGGAAACUUAUAUAUUAUAUUUUGUUCAAGAAACUAUGAUAUUUUGAUGCCUUGAAGUUGAAUUCCAUGAACUUUGAUGAUAAUAUCAUGUUUAAAGUUAAAAUUUCAGAUUUUGUAUGAAUUAUAUAUGGUUGCUACAUAAAGUAUGAAUCUUGAAGUAUUUUGCUCAAGUGUUGAUAUAUGGGAUUUAAACCCUCUUUGAGAUUAUGAUCUUUGGUGAAGUAAUGUGUUAUAUACACCUUGAUAUUUGAAUGAUUUGACCUUUUGGUCUUGAAAGAGUUAUUUUUGAACUCGAAUGAGAAAAGAAAUCCACAUGUUGAUUUUAUUAUGAAAAAGGGGUAGCAUGACGGCUCCCGAUAUGAAUUACUGAAUUGUGUUGUUGUGGGUUUUCUUUUGAAAUGAUCUGAGCUAAGUCCGGGAGUAGUCUUUAGCACUGAGUGGGAGGUAUAGCUGUGAUUGGUACUUCCCUAAAACUACGUGCCCUCAUAGGAUGUGAGCCUUAGGCUGCUUGAUAUAGUGAUCACUAGUGAACCAAAGGUUAAGGUCCUACUCCGAUGGCAAGGAUAGGACAACUCUCCCCAACGUGGAUUGGACGUUGGACUCCAUAUAGCCCACAUGGUUUAUGUCGGUUGUAAGAGGCUCCCAAUGUGUGUGUGUGUAUUCUCCUAUCUAAUAUGAAAAGUCUUAUUCUUCUAUCUGAGACGAAAACAUAUUUGUUUGAAAGACAGAGUUUGAGAAAGUCAUUAUUUUCGAAAGAUUUAAUGAACAUAUAUUCCAAAGAGAAUUGUUAUGAGAUUUGAUUACUUUGAUGAUUUGGAAUCGAGAUGUAAGUGAAUUGAGAUUUAUUAUGAUGACUCACAUAUUUCACCUGAUAUAUUUUACUCUCUUAUGAUUAUGAUGAUUUUAAUUCGAGCUAAGUGAGUCAUUUAUAUCAGUAUGCAUAAUUUUAUAAACUGUGAUGAUAUUAAGAUAUUAUUUUAUAUAUACAUUGCACCCCCAUAUGCUCGGGGCGUUUCCAUGGUACUGACCCGCAUAUUCGUAUGUGGGUUACAUUUUCUCGGAAUGUAGGUACAAGGUAUAGUGUACAUCUUCAGAUCCAGUCAGUUCGCGGUAUCCCGUCAACAGGUGAUGAGUCCUUUUGAUUCAAGGGCUUGAGUUAGUUAUACAGUUCGAGAAGUGUUGUAUUUUCUUUAUUCAGUCGUAUUGAGUUGGGUUAGUCGGGAUUCAUUACCCGGCUACCUACAAUCAGUACUAGUAAAGGCUUCAUAGACAGUCAGUAGAAGUUGAUGUAUUCUAUUUCAGUUUUGGUUGUAAUCUUGUAAAUUUAGUUUUGUAUCUGUCAUAUUCAGAAAAGAGUUAUUUUUCACAAAUUUGUAUAGAUUUAUACUUUUUGUUCAGUUGCUUAUGAGUUAUGCCAGUAGAAGGGUUAGCUUGGGGUCACUUGUGAUUCUAAGCACCGCGUGACGUCUCGAGACCCAAUUUUGGGGUGUUACAGGUGAAAUCAUCUGAAAGGACCAAUCUUUCAAGUGGGGUGAAUAGCAAUCUAAGGCCUUUAAGACCUUGAAAUAUAUGCUUAUUUCGGCACCAUUGUUGUAAUUUCCUAACUUUGACAAGAUGUUUGAAAUAGAAUGUGAUGUUAGAAAGGUAGGCAUAGGCACAGUUUUGAUGCAAGAAUUGAAGCCUAUAACUUACUUUAGCGAAAAUCUCAAAGGAGCAACUUUAAACUACUCUACACAUGAUUUGGAGUUGUAUGCCUUGGUUAGAGUGUUAGGCAAUUGACAACACUAUCUUUGGCCCAAGAAAUUUAUAAUCCGAAUGAAUCAUGAAUCUUUGAAGCACCUUCGGUCAUAAGACAAACUUAACAAACGACAUGCCAAAUGGAUUAAAUUUCUUGAAAUCUUUCCCUUUGUGAUUCAAUACAAAAAGGGUAAGGAUAAUGUGGUAGCCGAUGCAUUGUCUNNNNNNNNNNNNNNNNNNNNNNNNNNNNNNNNNNNNNNNNNNNNNNNNNNNNNNNNNNNNNNNNNNNNNNNNNNNNNNNNNNNNNNNNNNNNNNNNNNNNNNNNNNNNNNNNNNNNNNNNNNNNNNNNGCAUUCAAAUUCCAUCCCCUAUGUCGUUUUUGAUAGGUACUUGUUUCUAGGAAGAUGGUUAUGUGUACCUUCUAGCUCUUGAAGAGAGUUUUUUAUGAGGGAGGCAUGCGACGGUGGUCUCAUGGGUCACUUUGGAGUUGAUAAGACCCCCGAAAUAUUAGAGGAACAAUUCUAUUAGCCAAGGAUGCUCAAAGAUGUUGUGAAAGUUUGUGGCCAAUGCAUGGAUUGUAGGAGUGCUAAGUCUAGGCUCCUUCCUCAUGGGUUGUACACCCCGCUUCCCACUCUAGUAUGUCUUUGGUUUGAUAUUUCUAUGGAUUUCAUAUUGGGGCUUCCAUGGACUCAAAGGGGUCGGGAUAGCAUCUUUGUUAUUGUUGAUCAUUUAUCCAAAAUGGCACACUUUAUACCUUGCAAAAAUAAUGAAGAUGCGGCUAGUGUAGCUUCUUUGUUUAUUGAACAUGUUAAGUUGCAGGGCAUCCCAAAGACCAUUGUAAGUGAUAGGGACUCCAAGUUCCUUAGUCACUUUUGGAAGUUAAUAUGGGGUAGGCUCGAUACCAAGUUGUUGUUUUCUACGUCUUGCCACCCACAAACCAAUGGCCAAACGGAAGUAGUAAAUAAAAACUUAGGUUCUAUUUUACGUUCCAUGGUUAAAGGUAAUUUGAUGUAUUGGUAAGAUCACCUACCACUCAUAGAAUUUGCUUACAAUCAGGUGAUUCAUUCAAGUACGGGCAUAAUGCCCUUUGAAUGUGUCUAUGGCUUUAACCCCCUUGGAUAUAACUCAUUUGACAAGUGAUGUUGUUGUUAGCUUAGAUGGAAAUAAGAGGGCCAAAUCUAUGAAAAGCUUACAUGAGAAGGUGAGGUUGCGGCUUGAGAAGAAGAAGCAAGAGUUGGCCAAAUGAGUCAACAAGGGAAGAAGACGCCUUGUGCUUGAGCCGGGAUAUUGGGUGUGGGUACAUCUAUGGAAAGACCGAUUUCCCAACCAAAGAAAGGUAAAGUUGCUUCCAUGAGGUGAUGGUCCAUUACAGGUUCUUGAAAGAAUCAACGAUAAUGCUUACAAGAUCGACUUGCCUCUGGAAUAUCAAGUACAUAACACGUUCAACGUGUGUGAUCUCUCACGGAUUGAUACUAUUGAAGAUGAUGAACUCAUGAGUUUGAGGUCAAACUCCUCUCAAUAUGGAGAGGAUGAUAUGAGUGUCGUGGGCUCGAGACCAUUUACUAUAAGCCAAGCUCGGGAACUACAAAUACUUCAAGGCACGUUUAUGAAAAUGGAUGCGGUUGAGCUUGUUGUGAACUCUCCCAAAGGAGUGUAUGCCUUGACAUUGAGGGAUGACCUUAGGUGCUCAAAAUACACCCAAUGCUGCCCCAAAACACUCCACACCCGCCACCCCUUCAUUAAGGGUAAAGGGGUGAUACAAGUCAAAUGGCCACCCUAAUUUUUGAAGACAUGAUUGGAGACCAUCACUUAAAGUCUCAAGACUUGAUCACCCUGAGGGCCCAAGAAUAUGCAAGGAACACCCAUUUUGAGCCUACCAUUCAUCAAAGUCGUGAGUAAAAGAUUGCUUGAAGCAUUGAAGACUCGAGGAUUCACGGUUUUGGAGACUUAAUAGCUCACGAUUUUGGGCCAUCUUCAUUGAGGGAAUUUUGAUCACUUCACUUUGCCCAAAACGCAUUCCAUGGCCACCCCUCUAACUAUGGGUAGUGUAGUUAUUUGUCUUCUUUUUUAAUGUAAUAUAAAUAGAACAAUAUAAGGUUUUUAGAAUUUAGUUGUUUAUUAAUGGAAGACAAACUCUCUCUCUAGUGUGAGGAGUGUAACACCCACCAAUCUGUAACUAGGACUGCCCAAAUGUGGAUAUCACUUCUGUUGCAUCGUUGGCUUGAUACGUUGGUGAUUAGGGAGGUAAAGUCCCUCUUUUGUCAACAUUCAUGUGGUUAGGGUUCUUAGAUUCUUGAAUAUUAUAUGUCAAACUAUCUAUCCAUCUCUUUUGUUAAAACUGUAUUGUUGUUGGUCUUUGAAGUCUAGUGAAGCCGUGUGGGGCUCUUUCGAUUCACUAGCAUUGUUGUUCUUGUGUUCAUCUCUUUUAUUGCUCAAAACUAAAUCUAAAGUCUAGUGAAGCCGUGAGUGGCCUGUUUCGAUUCACUAGCACCUUGUUGUUCAUCUUGUUGCUCUUGUGUUGGCUUGAAUCUCUUGAUACACACUUAGUCUUGUAUCAAGGGGUCGUAUCAAGGGUUCGUUUUGCAAUACCUUUGUAAUAGACUAUUGAAACAUUUUCCUUAGUCUUAUUCCUUAGUUAGCUUAUUUUUGAAUCAAGAUUGUAACAUUGAAACACCAUCCUCUCAAGAGAGAGUAGACCACCAUUGACAUCACAAGAGACGGUUUUCUUCUUGUGUUGUGUGUAUUGGCUAGAGACGUGAGUUCUUGAAUGAAUCGAGUUCCUCUUGGGUUUGCGUAAGAACUUGGUGCUUGUUAAAUUAUUUUGUAGAGGUUUUAGAGUUUGAUACACUCUUUAGUUGCUACCUAAUGAGUUCUCUUUGUGUCAAGUUACCUAUCCUUUUUAUUAUUUUAAGUUUGUAUUUGCUUCCUGUAUCGUAUUGUUGUCUUGUUGUUGCGGGUUUAGGCGUGUUGUUGUGACUGUUUGCGGACUGUUUUGGUGUAGUAGAUACUAUUUGGUAUCACUAUGAAAGGGCCUCAAGACCAAAACUCUAUAUCAUCAAAAGGGUUCACAAUGCAUAAUCUUUAAAGUAUUUUCAAAACCCUUCAUAAAUGCAUGAUUUCAUAACUUUAAAACUUACUAAAAACAUAUACACUGUGCCCAUGAAGUUUAGGAUAGCCUCACGUACCUUAAGUUCCUUUGUUUGAAGAAUAGAACCCUAAUCUUGAAACUUUUCUUGAGAAUUUUGAAUUGAAAAGUUUGAAUUCUUGUAUCUUGGGAAGAGGGAAGGGUUUUGUUUAAGAGUGAAUUGAAGAGAACGAGAAAUUUUGUGUCCUAAUUACGUUAUUAAUCGGGAUUAGAUGAAUAGAAUUGAUAGGAAAGGACAUAAUUGCCCCUUAGGCAUUUAAACUCGUAACUUGAUCAAGAAAUGCACACUGAUCCUUGCACUAAGAGUGCUGAAACUGUAGAAAACGUUAAAUGUCAACUUGGUGAAUAUAAAGGCGAAACUUAACCUUCUGAAUCUUGUGGAGAUAAAGUUUACACUUUUGAUGGAUUUUAAUGCAAAAAGUGUUUAGUGCAUAUAUAUCAGGGAAAACUAGUGGUUAUAAAUGUUCCGGAGGCAGGAGACUCUCGACUUUACUAACUCUUCUGAGAUUUUUUUCCAAGAAGGCAUUAAAUUCUGUUGAAUCCAUUUGGGUGAGUAGGGUAGGGGAAAAUGCUCUUUUCUUUUGAAAUUCACUUUUUUUUUCCUUGUAUUGGACAAAUAAGCAGAAAAUACAAAUUCAUCUAAUAUAUUGUUAUUAUGACUGUAGCUUUUAUGUUUGACAAACCAUAUAAAGGGACCUGGUACCAUGAUAAAUAUCGGCCUACUAGACAACUAAAAACUGUACUAUCUGGCAGCUCAGCAGCAGGUCUGCUGUAGUCCUUUUCCUUUCAGCCAAUAGCUGUGCUCCUAGGUUUUUUCCAAAUUGAAAAAGUUGAUGCUUUCAAGCAAAAACCGCAUCAAUAUUCCACUGCAUCAACAACAGAGACCUGCUCAUAAAGUUCACUUUUGUAGUUCUUGUUGUUGAUUUGUUUUCUUGUUCUUGAAUUGAAAACCUACUCUUUGUUCUAGACGUUUGGUGUAUGUGUUUUGUGUUCUUGUUUUAAGUCAUCUUCAUUAAGUCCAGCCAGCUAGAGUUGGUUGAUGGAUAUAUUACAAUAGAGUUAUUGUAAUAUGUGUUGCAACAGAGUUGUUGUAGGAGUUGAGGCAUUGAGAGUUUAGUUCCUGAAUUACAAGAAAUUUGAAGUUUCUCUUGUUUUAUGGAGCCUUUGGUGAAAUCCUACGGGUAGGUCAUGGAAUUUCCUCCCUCGUGUAAGGAGGUUUCCACGUAAUAUCGUGUGUUCUUUAAUUUACAUUUUCGUUUCUGAUGUGUUGCAUUACUGCUAACUGUUCAGAGCUAAGGACUUGAUCCCUUGACGGUGGUGGACUCUUGCAAGUCAACGUAUACCUUAUACAAAAUCUAUUCCUCCAAAUUGUUAGGAAUUAAAUAAGAAAGAACUUCCAGUAGUGAUACCUCUUUACUUGCCCUUAGUAUGUUGAAAGUCUUUCUUAUUAUUUCCUGUUUAAAUCAUACAAACAGCAGAAGAAAAUGGUCAUUAUAUGCAUUAAAUCCAUAGCCUAAAAUUUUGGCUUAUGUUUCAUUAGCCUACUGGAAAAAUUCUCUUACACUAUGAAAGCAGUACAUCAUUCAUCUAUUUUGUGUCUAUGAAUACUGCUAUUACCGCUGCAUAUAAUAAUCAAAACGAAGAGAUUUUUCAAGUUAGCUGCUCCACUAUCCUUGAAACAACUGAGCAUUGAAAGGGUGAUACAAGAAUUACAAGGACAACAUGAAACACACUUCAAAAUCAGUCCACAAGAUCAAAGAUCCGAGGAUCCUUUUGAAGACCACACUCGGAUUCAACAAACAACAAGAUGAAGAACAACAACAAUGGAACAAGAACAACAAGUCACGGAUUUGAAUUACAAGAACACAAACAAACGAUUACAACAUAAACAAAAUGGAUAGAUAGUUAGACCUUGGUUGGUAUAAUCUUAAGAAUCCAAGAAUAUGGUAAUCUUGGACCCUUAACACUACACACAACGGUUAACCUAACUCCUACGUUGACACAAGAGGAACUUUACCUCCUCUAAACACCAACGUCUCAAGCCAACAUUGCAACACAAGUGAUAUCCCCACUUGUUGCCCUCAUUUCGGUGUGGUGGCUAUUCCAAGCCCUACAACUAAAGGUGUUUCAUUCUUUCAAGUCUUACAUCAAUGAACAACUAAUGAGAAAAAGACCUAAGAUGUUCUAUUUAUAUUCUAUUAAAAGAUAAGGCAAAAUGACAACAAUGCCCUUAAAGGGUGGGGUGGCCAUGGAGUGCAUUUGGACCCAAUGAAGUGACCAAAAUAUCCUUAAUGAAGAUGACCAAAUCAUGACCCAUUAAGUUUUGUCCAAAACCGUGAGUCCUCAAGUCUUCGAUGCUUCAAGCAAUCUUCCACACAUGGCCUUGCUUGUGCUUAAAACGGGCCUUCCUUGCAUAUUCUUGUGCCCUCGGGGUGACCAAGUCUUGAGCCUUUAAAUGAUGACCUCCAAUCAUGUCUUUAAAAAUUAAGGUGGCUAUUUGACUUGUAUCAAAGGGAAAGUAUACUGCAAAGAGAAUGGCAGCAGCAAUCUACAAGAUUACCAGAAAGAAAUAUGGUGACUGGAUAGUCGAUAGGUAGGUAUUCCUAGAACCAAAAAAUGGAGUCUGUCAGUAUAUCUCAUGUCAACAUAGAAAGUUUUCAUCGUAUUACUUUUUCAAUUGCAGAAGUAUACUACUGAAUCUGGACUAUGCUGCAAUUGUUUUAAGUCGUGAAAAUUAUUGGUGCAGGAUUUUAUAAUUCCUCUUAGACAAUCCAAUUGUUGCAUCGUAAUACUUCUAAAGGAAAAUGAUAAAAGAAAUAUACACAGGCAAAAAUGUUGGUUCUUUUCCUUAUAGAAUCAUGAUGUAUAUUACUUAGCAAAUGAAUUUUUCCUCGAACUCAGAAAGUAAUAAUGAGAAUAGUGAGAGUAUUAAAUUCCACACUCCCCUGCUUUUCUUCUUUCUCUUUUACUUUUUCCUCAAGACUAGGGGUGGGCGUUUGGUCGGUUCGAUUUGAUUAUUUAAUAUUGAUUCGGUUUAUCGGUUUUCGGAUUGAUAAAAAUGACAUCAUAACCAAACCGAAAUAAAUUUGGUUUGGUUCGAUUAUUUCAGAUUAUUAUUUCGGUUUGAAAUAUUAAAGUAGUUAGCCUCUCUUUUUCAAUUUUAAAACAUAAUUCAUCUUCAAAUAAGGUUCGAGACAGCUCUUAUCAUGCAAACAAGAAAAACCAUCGACCAUAAUUUCAAGAUAACACAGACACUACAAACUACUAAGUACUAACAAUACCAUAUACUAAAGAGAUACUAAUAUAUAAGUAAACGGCAGACCCUAGUCAUCCCAUUGCUCGAUUGGAAUAAAAUGCAAAAUGAAAUCACAAUAUCAUUAUCUAUUUUUAGUUACAUCCAUAGACCAUAGGAUAACUAAUAAAGAGGUUUUUGAGAACAUUUGGUAAAACUGCAGACAAACAAAGAUGCAGGGUGAAUGCAACAGCCAACAGGGGAGACACUUAAAACACCUUAAGCUUAAACAACAGAACAAUCUAUAAAAUGAUAAAACAGUCCGUCAGUCACCACUACCAUCCACCAAUCCACAAAACAGUUGGUCUAAUCGAAGCAAUUUGCAGACGACAUCACCAUUCACCAAGAAGCAACAUAAUUUAGAGCCAAAAAACUACUCAAAAGAGACAAAAUGAUUAUAAUCACCGGUCUCCGAUCAACAAACAAAAACUACGGCCAGUCGCCGCCUCAAACACAAUCGACGGUGCCGCUCAACAAACACGAAACACCAGUCGCGGGUCUUUAUUUGCAGAUCGCCGAUCAUAGUGUUUUUAUAAAGAAACAGAGUAGAUUGCCGGUGCCCGGUGGUCUAUCAUCGUUGUAAAGGAAAAGCCGAAAGCGAAGUGUGUGUGAAUUGUAAUGGGAUUUUGUGAUUUAGGCUCCUUUAGGAUUAGGGUUAUUAAAUUAUAUAACUAAUAUAAUUCUGAUUUUUGUUUUUUCGGUUUAACUGAUUUUUUUUUAAGAAAACCAAAAACUGAACCGUAAAACCGAAUUAUGAAAAUUGAAAAUCAAAAUCAAUCCGAAAAAUUAAAAAAUCGAAACCAAAAUUAAAUUUCGAUUCGAUUUUUUAGUUUUUUUUGUUUUAUCCAAAAUAUGCCCAGGUCUACUUAAGACUUCCUGGGAAAAGAACAUUUGGCCUCGAGUAGUGAUCAAUUCGGAGAUGAUUCCUUUUUCUAGACAAAUGGAAAUGGCCCAAGCCUAAAAUUUCUUCCUUAAUUUCAUAUUUAAACUCUUAAAUUAAUUGUCCAACUAAUUCUGUUAUUCUAUUACAAGGGGAUAUAUUUGUAUGGAAAAACAAAAUAUUGUCACGAUCCGAACUGGGGCCCUGGCCGUAAGGGAUAUCGCGAACCAUGGAGGCCCGAGCAUCCCUAUCUGUCUGGUAAUCAUGUACAAUAUUCAUAUGAUAGAGGGAAAAUACAGAAUUUUAUAAGCGAAUGGAAUCAUGUUCAUAAGUCUAAUAUAAAUUCAACAAUGGAAAAAAUGAAAUCCAAAACCAUCUAGCAAUACCUGAAAACCAUCGGCGAAAUCUCUACUACAUGACUAAUAACUUUGUCUGAAAACUGGGAUAAGGACCCCAGUAGACCAAAACCAUAACUGAUAAUAAAUGUUUGAAAAUAACUAGGCCUUCAAAAAUAUAGAAGGCUCACCGACUAGACCUUGCACUUCUGUCUGAGGAAAUCUACUGCUUAUUAGGACCCUAGACUGUGCCUCAGAACCUGGAAGGUGGGGGGGGGGGGGGGGGAGGGUCAAUAUAUAUGUACUGGUACGCAGAGAAAUCCAAAAUAAAGCUUUUAAUGUAACUAAAAUAGUUGAGAGAUAGUUAUAAAACAUCAUAUAGGAUGUAAAUUCUAAAAUACAUGGGUAUUUUUUAUAAUCAUAAAACCUUUCUGUCAAUGCAGUUUCUGAUCUUUGUAUUACUUCUGAGUUAGGUGGCACUCCCCUACAAGUUUGAUAUUUCAUGGGCUAUAUGGAAUCCGUCAUUGACUUGAAGGGAAAGCCCCCAACCCAAGUGUGCCGCAAGGAUUGGAUUGUCUGAGUCUGAUACGCCACAGGGCACUAGGCCAGCGUAUAAUAAUAUACCUGGAUCGGUAAAUCACGGUUUUGGGCAAUGAGUUGUCUGAACUCGUGCCUUCUUCGGGAAACCACCUAAGCUCUCUUUAUGCCCAAUUUUGGUAUGUUCUAAAACAUGCACCAUUCUAGUUUCAAAAUCUGAAAAUUUGAUUUCAAACAUACAUUCUAUUCUGUUUUGAAUCAACAUGGCAUUAUCCGAGUUGGUAUCGUCACACCAAGACUUGCAAGUCCUUUUUCUGAGCCAUAAUGCAUCAUGCUUGAUUCUUUCAUCAAAACUCAAUUCAAACCACCCAAACAUGCAAAUAGUAUAAGAGAUUUCAUGUUCCGAAACAUAAGUCAAAACUAUGCAAGAAUUCAUAAAACAUAUGGCGGUCAUGUGCUUUUGGCAAAACCAUGCACUCUUUCAUUAUAUGUAUAUUCAAAAUUUAUCAGCAUGCACAACCCUCUCUUUUGAUUCCACAACUAUGUUCAAAUCGUAGUAUGAAUCAAGACCUUUCAUAUCAUGCUUUUCAAAACAAUCCAUAUCAUACGAAUAAUGGGAAAAUUCAUAUCAAGAGAGGGAUUCAUUAUAAUUCAUGCUUUCAAUUGAGUAUUCAUCCUUAAACACACGCAUAAAUAUAUAUAGAAUUUUAAAUCAAUUUGGAGAAAGGCCUAAAGACCAAAACAAUGUCAUUGAGACUACUAAAACAUGAUUAUAAAUCAUAAAUCUAAAACUCUUUUCUUAAAAAUCAUGAUUUCUAUGCCCAUGAGAUUUUUAGGAAAACCCCACGUACCUCAAUAUAGAAAAUAAUGGAUGAUUCUUGAAGCCUACGGUUUGGACAUUCCGAAUCUUCAAUCAAUCUUGAAAAGACAGUUAAAUCUUGAGUUAUUUGGGUUUUUAGUUUGAAACCCUAGAGAGUGUUCUUGUGAAUUUUUAAUGACAAUAUGAAUAAUGUGGUCACUUAGGAGUGUAAUCCCGUGUUUAAGCUGAUAAGGGGGUGAAAAAAAUACCUAAUAUGCCCUUAAUGAGACAGAAUAAAAUAUAACUGGGAGCCCGGUUUUAUGGGCCACCGCAACGCGCCACAAUCGCGGUGGCUCAUUGGAAUUUGACGAAUGGGAUUCUUAAGGUCACCGCGAUGCGGAGCCAUCGUGUUGUCCCACUGGUUGGAACCUAAACUUCAGCGCGAUGUGAUACAAUCGCUCUAGGCUACUGGAAUUUGACAAUUUCUAAGUAGACCCCCUCUGCAAUGUGCCAAGCACCAAAAUGACAGUGUUUUACGACUAGGACUUAAACUAGUCAUAACUUCUUGCUCAAGUAUCGAAUUUGGGCGAAUCUUAUAUCAACGGAAAGCUCAUUCAAUUUCCCACAUGAUAAAAAAUCAAAAUUAGAAAAAUUAUAUAUGGUUUAAACUUUACUUAAUUUAGAAGUCAAAAAAAUAAGACUAAGUAUCUUUGACACUAUUCUAGUCAUUUAACUCUAAGAGUAUAUUACCACGAGCUAACAUAUGGACGAUGUGAGGUGUUACAUUAUUCUCCCUUUGGGAUCAUUCGUCCCUGAAUGAUGACACAGAACACAGACAAGCACGAUUUAAGGUAUACUAAGAUAGUAAAAGAAUAAGGCAAGGAUUGUACCUUCCAUUUCGUCAUUCACCGGAUCAAAAAGGUUUGGGUAUCUUGCUCUCAUGUCAUCUUCUAAUUCCCAAGUUGCUUCUCCAACUUUCUAAUUUCUCCACCACACCUUAAUCGAUACUAUCUCUUUGCUCCUCAGAUAUCGAACUUGGCGAUCUAAGAUUGCAAUAGGUUCCUCUUCAUAUGCUAAUGAGUCUGUCACCUUGAUUUCCUCUAUAGGCAACACCAGGGAAUGGUCUCCAAUAUAUUUCUUCAGCAUGGAUAUUUAAAAUACUGGAUGAACAGGACCCAGAUCUGCAGGCAACUCUAACUCAUACGCAACUGCACCUAUCCUUCUCAAAAUCUAGUAUGGUCCUAUAUAGCGAGGUCUCAGCUUACAUUUCUUCCCGAAUCGGAUAACUUCCUUCAUAGGGGAGACUUUUAUAAAUACCCAAUCACUAACUUCAAAUUCUAGCUCCCUUCUUCUGAUAUCGGCAUAGGAUUUCUGUCUACUCUGGGCUGUCUUAAGUCAUUCUCUAAUAAUCUCUACGUCCUCCAUUGCCUAGGGCUGGCAACGGAACCAGAACUUUCCGUUGCAUUCCGAUAGUGACGUUUUCGAUUGAUUUUCGGUACCGGUAAUGACACGGUCUGGUUGAUUCCGGUUUACCAGUACCCAAUGGUCCGAAAAAUGAUACCGGUCCGGACCUAUGAAAAAUUCCGGUGUUUUCGGUUCCGGUUGACCGAUUUCCGGUCCGUAACUUUUAAAAUUUGGCCUUUUUUUAAAAAAAAAAAACUUGGUUUGCAACGGCUCUUUUGGCCGUUGCAUUUCAACCGUUAUUACCCCCCACCUUCCAACUACCCACCACCAUCCUUUAAAAUUUUUACUAUAAAUAUACUUCAUUUCAAUUAUUUUUUUCACACAAAUAUUAUCAAUUUUCAUACUCUCUCUUAAUAUUCUCUAAAAUUCUCUCUAAAUAUUUCUGGUUUAUUAUAUUAGUUGAACACUUGAAGUUGAAGAUUCAUUUAUUAUAUUAGUUGGAGUUGAAGAUUUUUUGAAGAAAUUACAAGCUUCAAUUAUCAUCUUUUAAUUCUGACAUUUGUUAGAUGUCUGCUUUUACGCAGGCGUUCGGUAUAUUCGUUCCAACUUUAAUCUCUUUUUAUUUACGUUAAUUAUCUAUAUUUUUUAUUUUAGUAUCUACAUUUAUUUACGAACAUCAAUUUGUAUUUGUAUUGCUUGUUUUAAUAUUUUAUUUUGAAAUAUGGAUUUUGAAAAAAAUAGUAGUGAUAAAAAAUCAAAUUUUGGUAAGGUCUUUCGUAGAAAAAAAAAAAGUAAGGCUAGUACUAGUUCAUUACCGGCUAGAUUUAAUGAAACUUCAUUAUCACAACCUAAUGGUUUCGAUGUUGGUAUCGAUAUGGAUUUAGAUAAUGAGACCCUGAAUAGGCGUUAUAAUAAUUUUGAGGAAGACUUACCAGAGGAAGAUAAUAUAGAAGAACAAGAAUUAGGUGAUACCCCUACCCCUACUAGUCCGGUUAUGAAAUUAUCGGAACACGGUGAAGAACUGUCCCCUUUACCAGAAUUUACUAGGGCCAAAGGUACCGAACGUACUAAAAGGUUUUUAGUUUGGAAAUUUAUGGAGCAUGAUAGGGUAAAAAGUAUAGCUACUUGCAAUAAAUGCAAGAAUGUUUUUAAACAUUUGACUGGGGGUAAAAAUGGUGGGACAGGAUUGCUAACUUCGCAUUUGAUGAGAUGUAAUAACAAAUUUAUUCGUCUAAAAAAUGAGGCUAAGGCAAAAAAAGAUGGUACAACAUUUGUACAUGAAUCUGUAGGAGGUAAUAUGGUUCAAACACAUUUAGACAUGUUUAACCAGGCUGAAGCAAGUUCAUCCUCGACAUAUAGUGAAGAUGUAGAUACAGAAGAACUAGCGAAAAUGAUUGAUGUUAUGGGUUUGCCUUUUAGUUUUCCUUCGCAUCCCGAUUUUAUUCAUUAUAUUCAACGAGUAUAUAAUCCCUCUUUUAAAGGUUUUUCAUGAAAUACAAUUAAAAAUGAUAUUUUUAAAUUUCAAGCUGAACAUUGUCAUUUUCUUCAUUGCUUAUUUGAUAAAUUUGAUGGUAGAUAUCUGUUACUUCUGAUAUGGGUACUAGUGUUGUCGGUAAUGAUUAUUUUACUCUCACGGCUCAUUGGAUUGAUCACGAUUGGAACAUGCAAAAAAGAAUUAUUGCUUAUAAAUAUGUCGAUGAGUCUAAAACCGGUAUGUAUAUAGCUAAUACAAUAGCGGAGAGCAUGAAAUAUUUUAGAUUUAUUGGUAAACCUAUGNNNNNNNNNNNNNNNNNNNNNNNNNNNNNNNNNNNNNNNNNNNNNNNNNNNNNNNNNNNNNNNNNNNNNNNNNNNNNNNNNNNNNNNNNNNNNNNNNNNNNNNNNNNNNNNNNNNNNNNNNNNNNNNNNNNNNNNNNNNNNNNNNNNNNNNNNNNNNNNNNNNNNNNNNNNNNNNNNNNNNNNNNNNNNNNNNNNNNNNNNNNNNNNNNNNNNNNNNNNNNNNNNNNNNNNNNNNNNNNNNNNNNNNNNNNNNNNNNNNNNNNNNNNNNNNNNNNNNNNNNNNNNNNNNNNNNNNNNNNNNNNNNNNNNNNNNNNNNNNNNNNNNNNNNNNNNNNNNNNNNNNNNNNNNNNNNNNNNNNNNNNNNNNNNNNNNNNNNNNNNNNNNNNNNNNNNNNNNNNNNNNNNNNNNNNNNNNNNNNNNNNNNNNNNNNNNNNNNNNNNNNNNNNNNNNNNNNNNNNNNNNNNNNNNNNNNNNNNNNNNNNNNNNNNNNNNNNNNNNNNNNNNNNNNNNNNNNNNNNNNNNNNNNNNNNNNNNNNNNNNNNNNNNNNNNNNNNNNNNNNNNNNNNNNNNNNNNNNNNNNNNNNNNNNNNNNNNNNNNNNNNNNNNNNNNNNNNNNNNNNNNNNNNNNNNNNNNNNNNNNNNNNNNNNNNNNNNNNNNNNNNNNNNNNNNNNNNNNNNNNNNNNNNNNNNNNNNNNNNNNNNNNNNNNNNNNNNNNNNNNNNNNNNNNNNNNNNNNNNNNNNNNNNNNNNNNNNNNNNNNGAACAAAAUAUUGGGCCGAUUGAACCUCCUAGUUCUAGACGUAGAUAUGAUGAUUUAGAUGACGAGAUGGGCAAAGAACUUGGUCUUCAAUGUUGUAGGAGUAAUGAUUUUGAUUCGUAUCUUUCGCAGGACCGGAAAAAUAUUAGAGAUGAAACUGGAAAAUAACAACUUUUAUCGUGGUGGAAGACCCGGAUCAGACAAUUUCCAAAACUUUCAAGGAUGGUUCGAGAUUUGUUAUCAGCUCAAGCUUCUUCAGUUGCUUCGGAGCAAGCUUUCAGCGCAGGAAGAUUUAUAAUAAGAGAUCAUCGGUAUUCGUUAGCAAGGGAUAGUUUGGAGAUUUCAAUAUUAUUUAGAGAUUGGAUCAAUGCCGAACGAAGAAAUUUUGGGCUCCCCAAAUUACCGCCCCAUAUUGAAGAUGAAAUAGAUGAAAUUUUUGAGGAAAAUAGUGAUGAUGGAAUGGAAGCCAUGGAGGAACAAGGAAAUAGACCAAUUCCAGAGGAUUUAUCCGUCGAAGAAUUAGAAAAGUUAGGCCAAAAAGAUUAUAGACAAUUUAGAUAUUAAUAAGAUUCUAUAAUAGAAAUCUAAUUCACACAGAACUCUUCCUAGAAGGUGGAUGCGUAGAUUAGAUUUACAUUUAAUAUCUUUGUAAUAAAUGUACAACGUACGAAAUUUGAAUAAAUAUAACGGCUAUUCGCCGAAUUUUGUUUUAAAUUUUCUCUUUUGUUUGUUGCAAUUAAGAAAAAAUAUAUAUAUUAUAUUAAGUUUAUAAAGUUACAAAAAAUUUUAACUUCUUAAACUUACUAAAAAUAUUAUAUUAACUUAACAUAUAUUUUUUAAGUUAAAAUUUAAAACCUUUUACAAUAAUUAAAACUUAAACUUAUUAUAAAAAAGUUAAUAAAUUAUAUAAACUAUAUAAGUUAAAAAUAUAUAUAUAACUUAUUUAUUAAUCUCAUUAAGUUAUAAUUUAAAUUAAAACUUAAAAAAAAAAAAGCCUGGUACCAGCGGCAAUAUUUCGGUAACGUUCCGGUAUCGCUCCGGUCCGUUCCGGUUCCACACCGGUAGCUAGCGGACCGGUCCAAACAAGGGAAAUUUUCCAGUAUUCCGAUUCUGGUAACUCCGAUUCCGGCGAUAUAAAAUGGUAAUGAGGUUUCGGUAUCAUUCCGGAUCUGGUCAAACCGGUCCGUUGACAGCCUUACCAUUGCCUGAUGAACAAGAUUAGGCCUAAAAAACUGUGUCUCACCACUUCAUACCACCCUAUUGGCGACCUACAUCUUCUCCCAUACAGUGUAUCAAAAGGAUCCAUCUUAAUACUGGCAUGAUAAUUGUUAUUAUAUGCGAAAUAUAUCAAUGGCAAGUGAUCUACCCAACUAUCUUUCAAGUCAAUCACGCUAGCCCUCAGCAUAUCCUCAAGGGUCUAAAUGGUGCGCUCAUCUUGACAAGCAGUCUGAGGGUGGAAUGCAGUACUCAGAUUCACUUGGAUACCUAAACCCCUUUGGAAAGAUCUCUAAAACUGAGAAGAGAAUUGUGUACCUUGGUCAGAUAUGAUGGAUACAGGUGCUCUAUGCAAGCGGAAUAUUUCCUCCAUGUAAAGCUUAUCAUAAUCAUCUCCCGAAUAAUUGGUUCUAACAGGCAGAAAAUAUGCUGACUUGGUCAGCCUGUCAACAAUCACCCAAAUAGAAUCAUACUGGUUUUGGGACCUCGAAAGUCCUGUAAUAAAGUCCAUAUUGAUCAUCUCCCACUUCCACAAAGGCAAAGCUAUCUUUUGGGAUGUACCACCUGGCCUCAUAUGUUCUACUUUAACUUGCUGCCAGUUCAAACAUUUGAAAACAUAAUUAGCCACAUCACGCUUCAUAUUGUUCCACCAAUAUAAGGUCUUUAGAUCAUGGUACAUCUUAGUAGAGCUUGGGUGAACAACAUACCUCGAGGUGUGAGCUUCAUCAAGAAUUCUCUUUCAUAACCCAUCUACAUCUGGCACACAUAGUCGACCCUGAUAUCUCAAAAUACCAUCACCACCUAUUUCAAAAGAAAUCACCUUCUGCUGACCCAUAUCUUUCUUUAUCUGCAUUAAGAUUAAGAUAGGAUCUUCAACCUGUUUCUCUUUAACUUCUGCCUACCUUAUGAACAACCACUCCCCCAUCUUCGGAAUCCAAGAGUCAUACUCCUAGAUUUGCAAGUCGAUGAAUAUCCUUCACCAUCUCUCUCUUUUCUUUUUUAACAUGAGAAAGACUGCCCAUAGACAACCUGCUGAGGGCGUCGGCUACCACAUUUGCCUUGCCCGGAUGGUAGUGCAUGCUCAUGUCAUAAUCCUUUAAAAGCUCCAACCAUCGUCUUUGCCCGAGGUUUAAUUCUUUCUGUGAGAAACAUACUGUAAAAUCUUGUGGUCAGUAAAUAUAUCAACAUAUACCCCAUAGAGAUAAUGCCGCCAGAUUUUAAGCACAAACACCACAACCUCUAACUCCAAGUCAUGGAUGGGGUAAUUUUGCUCAUCCAUAUUCAACUGCCUAGAUGCAUAGGCCACCACCUUACCGUGCUACAUAAGUACACACCCAAGUCCCACACGGGACGCAUCACAGUACACAACAAACCCCUUCGUACCUUCCAAAAGAGUCCAAAUAGGAGAAGUUGUUAACUUAUCUUUUAACUUCUCAAAGCUAUUCUCACAGGAGUCAGACCACACGAACUUCACCUUUUUUUGAGUCAACUUAGUAAGUGGUGCAGCUAUGGAAGAAAAACUCUUUACAAAUCUUCUGUAAUACACUGCCAAACCCAAGAAGCUCCGAAUAUCGGUUAGAGUCGUGGGUCUGGGCCAUUUUCUCAUUGCCUCAAUCUUUUGGGGAUCAAUCUAAAUCCUGUCACUAGACACGAUAUGCCCCAAGAAAGCAAUAGCAUUAAGCCAGAAUUCACACUUGGAAAAUUUUGCAUACAACUUAUGAUCUUUGAGAGUUUGAAGGAUGAUUCUGAGGUGAUUGGCAUGGUCCUCCUCACUCUUGGAACGAAUCAGAAUAUCAUCAACGAAAAUUAUAACAAACAAAUCUAGAAACUGAUGGAACACCCUGUUCAUAAGAUCCAUGAAGGUUGCAAGGGCAUUAGUCAACCCAAAGGACAUGACUAGGAAUUCGUAAUGACCGUAUCUAGUUUAGAAAGCUAUUUUGGGAAUGUCCGACUGUCUAACUUUCAACUGAUGGUAUCCCAAAUGAAGGUCUAUCUUUGAAAAAUAUUUAGCACCCUGAAGUUGGUCAAAGAGAUUAUCAAUCCUAGGAAGAGGAUAUUUAUUUUUAACAGUGAUCUUAUUUAGCUAGUAGUAAUCUAUGAAUAUACGCAGGGAACCAUCUUUCUUUCGCACGAAGAGUACAGGUGCACCCCAGGGAGAAAAACUGGGACAUAUAAACCUUUGUCUAGAAAGUCUGCUAGCUGUUCUUUCAACUCUUUCAGCUCUGCAGGAGCCAUUCUAUAUGGCAGAAUAGAAAUGGGAUGGGUGUCUGGUAAUAAAUCAAUACCAAAAUAUAUCACCUUAUCAGGUGGUAUUCCUGGGAGAUCAUCUAGAAAGACUUCUAGAAACUCAUUUACCACAGGGACUGACUGGAGAGGAAAACUUUCGGCAUUAGAAUCUUUAACCCAAAUAAGAUGAUAUAAAUAACCUUUGGAGAUAAGUUUAUGGGCUCUAAGAUAAGAUAUAAAGUUUUCUCUAGGUGCUAAAGAAUGCCCCUCCCAUUCUAUCACUGGUUCAUUCUGAAAAGAAAAUGUGACUCUUUGGGUUCUACAAUUUAAUGUGGCUUAGCACGAAUGAAGCCAUUCCAUCCCUAGGAUAGCAUCAAAAUCAAUCAUAUAUAGGUCUAUGAGGUCUGCCACGGUAUCUCAGCCACAAACAGUCACCACAUAAUUUCUAUACACUCUCCUAGCCACAACAGAAUCACCCAUCAGAGUGGAAAUAGAGAAAGGUUCUGAAAUUUCAUCAGGCUCAAACCCAAAACUGACAAGCACAUAAAGGGUCACAUAGGAUAACGUAGACCCGGGAUCAAGUAAUACAUAAGUAUCACGGGAAAAAAUUUGGAAUGUACCGGUGACUACGUCUGGCAAGGCUUCCACCUCCUGGAGGUUGGACAACGCAUACAGCUGGUUGCAACCACUCCCGUCAGUUGAGGUGGCGCCCUUUUGGGGCGGUGGUGAUGCGGAAAAAUUUUCUUGAGAUUUAGCACCACCAACACUCCUUCUAGCUGAAGGAUAAUCUCUCUGAAAGUCACCCGAAUGACCACAUGAAUAGCAUACCAGCAAACCCAGAUGACACCUCCCUGGAUGAUGCCUACCGCAGGUCUAACACCAUGGAAACGUACAAUGCUGCUGAGCUACGCUGCCUUGUGACUUGGUAUCCUGAGCUCUGGAUCCAUGAUUAGUUUGGAAACUCUGAGGUCGUCGGUCUACUAGAGGUCUGGGCGCUAGGGCGCUGGCUGCGGACUGAGCAUUACCCUAAUUUUUCUUCUUCUGCCAUUUAUUUCCCCAAUUACCACUCUGUGGUUGACUGUGGUUCUGAUCCGCUAUUCUGGCUUUCUUUGUCUGGCUGUCCUUCUCCCUAGAUUCAACGAUUCUCUUCUUCUAUUGCUCUACCUGCUUCAUAUGCACUGACAGCCUAGAGAAGUCCCUGUUAUGCAUAGCCCCCUUACAUUCAAGCACUAAGUCAUCCGAUAGGUCGGAUGCAAAUUUUCUCAUUCGGGCUCUCAUAUUACCAUCUCUCUCCGGAGCAUAAUGAGCCAGUUAGUUAAACUUCAGAGUGUACUCCUUCACACUUAUUUUUCCUUGCUUAAGGUUCAUAAACUCCUCAGCUUUGGCCUCUCUCAAUGCAAGGGGAAAGAACUGAUCAAGGAAGGCUUCCACAAACGCGCCCCAUACUGUGGGCUCAGCACUCUCACCCUUAGAAUCCUCCCACUCAUUAUACCACUGGUUCACAACUUCUUUAAGCUGGUAAGCUGCUAAUUCAACCCCUUUCACUUCGUCUACAUGCAUCACCUUGAAGAUCUUCUCCAUCUCAUCCACAAACUCCUGUGGAUCCUUCUCUACCUUGGAGCCCAAAAACUUGGGCGGGUUCAUUCUCAUGAAUUAACCCACCCUAGUAGCCUCAGAUGUGAUCGAUGCAGACCUAAUAUCUUCCUACCAUUGAUUCUGUAUGGCUACCAACUGUACAAGCAUGUGAAUGGACUGUUUGAAUUCUGCAUUAGAUACCUCUCUCUCGCGAGGCUGAGUGAGGUUAGUCCCCAUCCGGGGAGCUCUGGGUGCCCUAGGAAGGUUGUUCAGAGUAAGUGGGACUCCCGGAGUAGCAUUAAUCCCCGGAGUCAGGGCUCUAUUUUGGGUCCUCAUCCCAUGAGUGGGACGGACCUCAUCUGUCUGUGCAUUCUGAUCGAUAGUACGAUGGGGAGGCAUGAUUUCUUUUCUAAAAUGCAAGAGAUCAUUGAUUAGGGGACAAUUUAGACUCUGAAGCACGAACUAAACCACAAAGAAAAGAAACAUUCCUGAACGCCUAGUAGCCUCCUGCUCAUAAGUGUGGCACGCUAAACACCCAUAAAAAAAAUUCUACCCGACGCGAUUUCGCAGACACCCUGGGACCAUGAACCGUGCUCUGAUACCAAGUUUGUCAUGACCCAAACUGGGCCCUGGUCGUAACAAACAUCCCGAACCAUGAAGACUUGGACGUCCCUAUCUGUCUGGUAAUCAUGCAUAACAUUCAUAUAAUAGAGGGAAAAUGCAGAAUUUUAUAAGUGAACGGAAUCAUAGUCAUAAGUCGGAUAUAAAUUCAACAAUGAAAACUAUGGAAUUCAAAACCAUCUAGCUACACCUGAAAACCAUCUGUGAAAUCUCUACUACAUGACUAAUAACACUGUCUGAAAACUGGGACAAGGCUCCCAGUAGACCAAAACCAUAACUGAUAAUAAAUGUCUGAACAUAACUAAGCCUUCUGAAAUGUAGAAGGCUCACCGACUAGACCCUGCACUUCUGUCUGAAGAAAUCUACUAUUUAUCAGGAUCCCUAGACUGUGCCUCAGAACCUGAAAGGUAGGGAGGGUCAAUACAGAUGUACUGGUACGCAGAGCAAUCCAAAAUAAAGCUUUUAAUGUAACUAAAAUAGUUGAGAGCUAGUUAUAAAACAUCAUAUAGGAUAUAAAUUCCAAAAAACAUGGGCAUUUUUUAUAAUCAUAAAACCUUUCUGUCAAUGCAAUUUCUAAUCUUUGUAUUACUUCUGAGUUAGGUGGCACUCCCCUACAAGUAUGAUAUUCCACGGGCUAUAUGGAAUCCGUCAUUGACUCGGAGGGGAAGCCCCCAACCCAAGUGUGCCACAAGGGUUGGAGUGCCUGAGUCUGAUACGCCAUAGGACACUAGGCCAGCGUAUAAUAAUAUACCCGGAUCAGUAAAUCACGAUUUUGGGUAAUGAGUUUUCUGAACUCGUUCUUUCUUCGGAGAGCCACCUAAGCUCUCUUUAUGCUCAAUUUUGGUCUGUUCUGAAACAUGCACCAUUCUAGUUUCAAAAUCUGAAAAUCUAAUUUCAAACAUGCAUUCUAUUCUGUUUUGAAUGAACAUGGCAUUAUUUGAGUUGGUGUCGUCACACCAAGACUUGCAAGUCCUUUUUCUGAGACAUAAUGCAUCAUGCAUGAUCCUUUCAUCAAAACUCAAUUCAGACCACCCAAACAUGCAAAUAGUAUAAGAGAUUUCAUGUUUCGAUACAUAAGUCAAAACUAUGCAAGAAUUCUUCAAACAUAUGGUGGUCAUGUGCUUUUGGCAAAACCAUCCACUCUUUCAUUAUAUGUAUAUUCAAUAUUUAUCAGCAUGCACAACCCUCUCUUUUGAUUACACAAUCAUGUUCAAAUCAUAGUAUGAAUCAAUAUCUUUCAUAUCAUGCUUUUCAAAACAAUCCAUAUCAUACGAAUAAUAGAAAAAAUCAUAUCAAGAGAGGGAUUCAUUAUAAUUCAUGCUCUCAAUUGAAUAUUCAUCCUUAAACACAUGCAUACAUAUAUAUAUAAUUUCAAAUCAAUUUGGGAAAAGGACUAAAGACCAAAACAAUGUCAUUGAGACUUCUAAAACAUGAUUAUAAAUCAUAUAUCUAAAAUCCUUUUCUUAAAAAUCAUGAUUUCUAUACCCAUGAGAUUUUUAGGAAAAUCCCACAUACCUCAAUACAGAAAAUAAUGGAUGAUUCUUAAAGCCUACGGUUUGGGGAUUCUGAAUCUUUAAUCAAUCUUGAAAAGCCAUGGUUAAAUAUUGAGUUAUUUGGAUUUUUAGUUUGAAGCCCUAGAGAGUGUUCUUGUGAAUUUUUGAUGACAAUAUGAAUAAUGUGGUCACUUGGGAGUAUAAUCCCGUGUUUAAGCUGAUAAGGCGGUAGAAAAAUACCUAAUAUACCCUUAAUGAGACGAAAUAAAAUAUGACUGGGAGCCCGGUUUUAUGGGCCACCACAACGCGCCACAAUCGCGGUGGCUCACUAGAAUUUGACGAAUGAGAUUCUUAAGGUCACCGCGACGCGGAGCCAUUGCGUUGUCCCACUGGUUAGAACCUAAACUUCAGCGUGACGCGCCACAAUCGCGCUAGGCUACUAGAAUUUGACAAUUGCUAGAAAUACCCCCUCCGCGACACGCCAAGAACCAAAAUGACGAUGUUUUACUACUAGGACUUAAAUUAGCCAUAACUUCUUACCCGGGUAUCAGAUUUGGGCGAAUUUUAUAUUGACGGAAAGCUCAUUCAACUUUUCACAUGAUAAAAAGUCAAAAUUAGGGAAAUUAUAUAUGGUUUAUACUUUACUUACUUUGGAAGUCAAAAAAAAUGAGACUAAGUCUCUUUGACACUAUUCUAGUCAUUUAACUCUAAGAGUAUAUUACCACGAGCUAACGCAUGGACGAUGCGGAGCGUUACAAAUAUCCAGUUCUAUAAUUAAAUAUGAUACAGAGAAGACAAAUAUCAAUUCUAUUCCUGUAUAAGGAAAUAAUUUAUCUAGAAGACAACAGGCUAUUUUUGAAGAUUGGAUAUUUACCAUCACAUAAACCUUGCUACAUCAUUUGCAAAGAAAUUCCAACUUGAUCUUCUUGAGAUUUACCAGGAUUUCUUUCAUGUCCAACCUUUCAUUGGGAGAUUCAGUUGUGCAAUGCAAUGCCAACUCCAGAAUAGAGGAUACACAACGAAGCUCAUUCUGGAAAGAAAUCUUUUCUGGUUCCAUCAGCGUGACAUCAAUAACAUCCUCUUGUGUUGACAUCAAUACCCAACUCCUCAUGCUCAAAUUUUCUUGAAACAUUUCAUCAUAUGGCCUUUUCUUUGUGAAAGUUUCCAUGAGCAUAAUGCCGUAGCUGUACACAUCACAUCUUCUAGAAACUAAUCCUACUGAUCCAUACUCUGAUCCAAUGUUACCAAAGUAAUUAGUAUCAUGACAGCAAAAUAAUGAAAUGAAUAUAAUAUCCAUGUUUACAUCCAAGAGUGUGGCCAAAUGGUCAAUAAGAUGGGUUAGUUAAGAAUAACAGUCUCUUAUUCAAAUCCCAACAACGAGACAAAAACUAGGUGAUUUCUUCCCAUUUAUCCUAGUACCUCUUGCUGGUGGGAGGUGACAAGUAUCCCGUGGGUUAUCAGAAAAAAAUUAUCUAUUUGUUAGAUAUUAAAUAUAUUGAAUCUACCUUGAGUAGAUAAAAAAUAAAAACUGAAGGUAUAACGGCAAUCAGUUUUUAUUAUAUUAGAACCAGUAAACUAAUUAUUUGAUGUAAAAUAAAACCUCAUAUGCUAUAAUAAUAGGACUAAAAGAAAGUUACCUGGUGCAAUGUAGCCCAUUGUAGCAAGUGUUUUAGUAUGAGCAAUUGAUUCCCCUUCUCCUAAUAACUUGGUCAGGCCAAAGUCACUCACAUGUCCAACCAACCUAUCGUCUAGCAAGACAUUGCUAGGCUUCAAAUCACUAUGUACAACAACUGUUUCAUAACCAUGAUGGAGAUACUCCAAAGCGGAUGCAACAUCGAUCAUUAUGUCUAGUCGUUGGAUCAUAUUCAAGAAGUAAUCAUCAGAAUGUAACCAUUGCUCCAGACUCCCCUUCGGCAUGUACUCUAGAAGUAAUGCUUUAAAAUCCAUGUUAGUACAACUGCUGAUAACUUUGGUAAGAUUCCUAUGACGAAGGUUGCGUAGAACAUCACAUUCAGUGUCAAAACUCUUGAAUGCACCUUCAAUCUGUAAAUUAAACACUUUGAUUGCCAAAGUCAUCCCGUUUGCAAACGUACCCUUGUAAACAGAGCCAAAACCUCCGGAGCCUAGCAAGUUGCAUUGGUCGAACCCUUGAGUUGCCCUUUCAACUUCAAUGUAUGAAAUUUUUGCUAGUUUUAUUGUUGCAGGAUAGGAUUCGGCUUGAGUGUGAACAUUUCUAUUCCCACGUCUCUUGAACAUAAACACAGCGAUUGAUGCAAGAACCAUCAGUGCAGCUCCCAAUGGGGCAAGUAUAACCAGAAGUAAUUUACUUCUCCUUGAAUGAUGAAAAGACAUAGUCAUACAAGGUUGGAAAAGCAAACCGCCGCAUAACUCUUCAUUUCCCAUAAAAGAUUGAGAGGUGAAAUGGAGAAAAGGUCCUUUACUUGGUAUUUCACCUUCAAAUCUGUUGAAUGAUACGUUGAAAUCCUUCAGAUAUCGAAGUGACUCUAUUGAUUUUGGAAUCAUUCCUGAAAGAAUGUUAUUGGAUAGAUUCAUCGAUACCAAACUUAUCAUUUUCCCAAGUGACUCUGGAAUAGAUCCUUGUAACUCAUUAUAAGCCAGGGAAAGAUAAAGUAGAUUCUGCAAGUCUCCAACUGUGGUGGGAAUAAUUCCUGAAAGGUGAUUCCUUGAGAGAUCUACUAAUGUUAUGGCAUUCAACUUACCAAAAUCAGGAGGUAUAGAAUCAACCAAGGAAUUAUUCGACAAGUUAAGUUCCAAAAGAUCUUUGAGGCUCCAUAGACCAAUGGGAAUGCUACUGAGUCUAUUUGAAUUUAGAUAAAUAUUUCUCAAAGAGGUAGCAUUACCAAUGCAAUAUGGUAUAGGACCCGAAAACUGAUUAUAGGACAACUCAAGGAAGUACAACUCCGGCAAUUUGCAAAGGCACUCUUGCAAUGGUCCGCUUAACCGAUUAUUGUCAAGACUUAACCAUUGAAUAAUGUGUAAAUCACAUAAUGUUCUUGGCAUUGAUCCAGUCAUGUCGUUGCGGGAUAGAUACAAAGUGUUUAAGUUACUUAAAUUCCCAAUUCCAAAUGGUAUCUGGCCCCUAAUUUUAGAAUGAUAUAAAUCUAAUAUCUCAAUAGAACUGGAGAGAUUGCCAAUGGAAUCUGGAAGAACACCAUUCAAAGGAUUAUCCUCUAAUUCUAGUACUUUCAAGGAUCUACAGUUCACCAAGGAAGCAAAGAUACUUAGACGCGGAGAUGAUAAGCUGUUAAUGAACAAUUGCAGAGAUUCAAGAUGCCUCAAAUCCCCCAAUGAGUUAGGAAUUGGACCACUGAAUUUGUUUUCACUAAGAUCUAAUAUCGUUAGAUUUGAAGAAUUGGAGAUUGAGCUGGGUAUAACUCCACCAAUGUUGUUAUCACCCAAAUGCAAAAGCCUCAGAUUUGUUCGCCAGUAGUUUGAAGCAGAUGGAAGACUACCCGAGAGGUUAUUGUAUGCAAGUGACACCCCUCUUAGGGUAGAGAUAUUGAAGAGCUCUUCCGGUAUGGAACCACUUAACUUAUUAAAUUGCAAAAGUAGCAGCUCCAAUUUGUGAAGAUUCCCAAUAUCUCUGGGUAUAACACCUGCCACGAGAAAAAUUAAGUCGAUUAAGUUUAUUUGGUUGCUCCAUUUUGCAUAUCAUAUCACAUUGUGCUAAAACUAGAAAGCUCCUAUGUUCAGCUCCUAUGUUCAAAGUUAGAUUACAAUUUUGCACCUUCAGUAAACUAAUUAAAAUGUAUUAAACCAUUAAAUCUAAACAUAAUAGUUAUGCAGAUUAAUUUCUUUACAGUCUUCUCAAAUUUCAGCCUUAAUUAUUAGUUCUUUUCAGCCUUCAGGUGUAGCAAAACACUAAACCAAAACCUAAUACUUAUGCAGAUUUAAUUUCUUUGCAACCUUCUCAUAUUUCAGCUUUUAUUACGUGUUCUUUUCAGCUUCCAGGUGUAAUAAAACAUUAAAUCAAAACAUACUAAUAGUUAUGCAAAUUUAGUUUCUUUACAACCUUUUCAUAUUGCAGCCUUUAUUAGUAUUUGAUCUUUUCAGCAUCUAGGGUAAUAAUAUCUUUACACAGCCUUUGGACAUUCUUAUUGCACAUUAUAAAUGUAAACAACGCAUGUAAUCAACUCCUCACUUUAGUUAUUCCUUUUAUCUUCACUGUAUCAGAAAUGUUUUUUCCGUACGACUACAACAAAGAUGUAAAUGCUUCUACAGCAGGAGUUUCAGUUCCCAAACGAGUCUAUUAGACAUCAUCUCAUCCCCGUUCCGUGUGAACACCUAUGGAUUCUUAUAGCUCGGAUAGCAGCUCAAGGUUAUUGAAAUAUCUCUUGCAGAAAGAUUCAGUUCUGGUAGUGGCUAAAGAGGAGUACGAGAAAUGGAAGUCAAUCCAAUUAUACAUUCGGAUGCUAAUUAUGUAUUCGAAAAUUGCAAAAUAAGGAAGUAUUUGUAAUUUAGCAAAAAGCAAGAAUAGAGAAUAAUCUAUAUAUUAAAAGGAGAGGACAAAGCCUCUGCCUUAAAAUUGAUACAUGUAGUCUGUUAUGUUAGGUUAGUUAAUUAGGUUAAAAUUAGUUAAUAUUUACUUUAAAUUUUUUCAGCUUUUUUUUUAAAAUCAAAUUUGCAUUUACUUUAAGUUUUUACUAUUUUUAAAUUGUUAAGUUUUACAGAAAAAUUAAAUUACCUGAACAAUAGGAUUUUGUUUUUCUAAACUGCUACUUUCAUUUCUAAAAAGUGAUUGAAAAUAUACUAAAACUUUCUGCAAAUCCCAUAAAAAAGUCCUUAUCAUUGAUGAUUUUCAUGUUUGUGUCCAUCUCUUCUAUUGACUCUUUAAAUUGGAUUUAUACUUAAAAUAAAACAAAUUUUAUUUAAAACUAAAAAAUUAAAAAAAAAAUUAAUGGGACAACUGCAUAUUUCAAAUACACAUUCAAUUUUUCUUUAUAAAAGCUGCUUUUAAAUCUGAAGGGAUUUAUCCUUAUCAAUUUUCCAUUAGGAUUAUAUCCAACUGCUCAACUUUAUCUUUAUAAACUUUCCUUUUAAUUUUAUUCUCUUCUCAUUCUUUUUCAACCAUGCACUGCAUUCUUUUUCUAAAAUUUUCUUUGGCAGAGUCAAGAAAAGAUUUAAACUACGACAUAAUCAUGCAAUUAAUAUUGCAGUAACACCAAUAUUUACCAAAAAGACAAGGAAAAGAUUUGUCCUUGAUUCUUACUGACAUAUAUUUAAGGAUUAACUGCAUUUUAUUUCUUUGUGCAGAAGAACAAGGAGAAAAUUUUAAGAGCAAUUUGUUAGCAUCAAAUUGCGGUUGGAAGGCGAAACGGGGAAGCCUUAUAGAGCAAAUAUUCAUGACUGUGAUGAAAGAUUGUCCAAUCUCAAUGGUUACAGGUUUCAACCGCAUUAACUAUUAACAACUUCUCUUCUCUUUGAAUUUUUUAUUUUUUAUUGUCAAAUUUAUUUAUAUUAUUAUAAUAUUCAAUCUAAAUUCGCUCCUCAUUACCAUUUUUCCACAAAAGACAAAAAAAAAAAAGGAAAAACUAAAUAAUGCACAUUAGGUCAUCAACUACACGUAAAUUGCAUAUCAAUAUUUUUAAAUUGCAUAUUUUUCAAAAAAAAAUUAACCCACUUCCCCGAAUCCCUCUCCUCAUUGACGUGUUUUUCUCUUUGUGGAAAGUUUUUUUUUUUUUCCUUUUUUUAACCAUUUUCAAAUGUAGUGAAAAAAAAAUCACAAAAAGAAGAAUUUCUAAUGGAAAAAGGAUGUGAAUAAAAGAAAAUGACAGAGAGGAUAAGAAGAAGUUGAUUAGCAAUAGGGUAGGAAAAAUAUCAACCAAACCUUAAAGAAUCCUUUCUUUCCUUUUAGUUUACUUUCUUUUUUAUUUCUUCACAUUACAUACAAUCAUUCGUUUUUUUAUUUGCCUUUACUUUUUAAUUUCAGUUAAUCCAUUAUUAUUUUUUAAAUAUUGUAUACUCAAUUUGCAUUAAAAACAGUUUUUAUUAAUUUCUUUAAGGAGCUAAUUGGAUUUAAAGGAACCUCAACGAAUGUUAUUACAUUUACGUUAAAUUGAAAAAAUAUCUCAUAUGAAUAAUCAGCGAGAAGUAAAAGUUCUGAUUUUUCAUUCAUGAUUAGAUAAUAUGUGUCGGAACAAAUUUUUUUUCCUAUAAAGCUUUUAAAAAAUACACUCUUCAUCACUUAUUGUUUUUAUGAAUGUUGCAUGUCUAAUUAACCUUUGUUUAUUCUCCAACACGUGAAAAAAUAAAGAUGAUUUGAAGUCGAUUUAUUGUCCAAAUUAAGCUUCGACAUUAUGAAAUUGAAGGUGAUUGGUUUGUUCUAUUGUUGACUUACUUGAGUAGUUUAAUGUUUUAUCUUCUAUCGUCACAUCUUGACUACCGAUUAUUUUUUAAUUGAUAGAUGUUACAAACGGAACGAGGAAGAUCGGAGAUUACUUUAAUGAUUUUCUAAUGAGUCAUUGAUAAAUAUUUAUUGAAAAUGUUCCUCUUCAAGAUGAGGUUUACGAAAAAUAUUAAUUUCUCUCCAAUCAAUAUUAUGCUAGAAUACAUGUACAAUCAUAUCAUACUUUUAAUAUGAUUAUUUUAGUUUUACUCAUUUUGAAAUUGUCAAUUGUUCAUGUUGAUUUGAUGAUGUAAAGACAUUUGAAUCAAAUUGGAGACUUUUUAUGUUUAUUUUUAUUUUGUAUACAUAAUUACAAAGUUUAUAUCUUUUUAUUUUACUAAAGGACAAGUUAAGAAUGAUA
rnacentral:lncRNA from 1 species